GAAUCUUAACUUAAACCAUGAAUUAGUGAGUAGAAUAGAGUCUAGGCACUAUGGGUGGAAGGACCCAUGAGUUCAACACCACAUACCUUGAGUUUUUAUGAAGGUCUUGAGAGUGUCUUCAAUGGAAGCUUGCAACUUGGAGCAAGAGUCUCUUCAAUCUUGAGGAAGGUUUUGGAUUAGGGUUCUUGAGAGAACUUGAGAGAAAAAUGUGUCUAAGUAUGGGAGAGGUGUUUUUGGGAAAAUGUUUUAGAGGUGAGAAUUGAACUAAUGGUAUAUAGGAAAUAACAUAUGCCCUUUGGAAAAAAAAUCGUCCAACACUUAGAAAAAAAAAGGAGGCGGGUGAACAGUAAAAAUGGUUACUGGAAAUUGAAUUCCCUGCCAGACAGACUUUACGAAAAUGGGCAUAACUUCUUCGUCCGAACUCCGAAUGAGGUGAAACGAAGUGCGUUAGGUAGAUAACUCAAAGGGCUUUUCAUGGAUAUAUUAUUUGCAACCCAAAUAAUUUGUGUGCUAGGAGAUAUGACACUCCAAAGUAGACCCUUGAAAAGGCUUCACUUGGAAAUUUCGGAUUUUGAUACGGUUGCUCUAAAAUUUGGGUUAGACCCAUUUCCCACUCAAUUUGACCCCCUAAACAAGAAUAUGAAGUCGGAUUUUCAAAAAACGAAACGUAUUUUUUAAUAUUUAGCUAAACAAGUUUCCGGUAACUUCCGAAGCACAUUUUUAAGAACUUUUUGGGUCAUGUCAAUGGCUUCCACAUAUUUGAAAAUGUAAUCUACAGCCACAAAGAUAUAUUUAUUUCCAAAUGAGCUUACAAAUGGGCCCAUGCAUACAUCGAAUAACUCGAAUUCCAAAAUAGGAGUGAGAGGCAACUCGUGCCAUCUGGACACUAUUCCUUGCUGCUGACAUUGAGAGCAUUUCUUCGAAAAUUCAUGUGCGUCCUUGUAUAGGGACGGCCAGUAAUAACCACUUUGGAGAAAUUUAGCGGCAGUGCGAAUAACACUAUGGUGACCUCCUAUUAGAUAUGCCUGGAAAGCAUGGAGAAUUUCUACCGCUUCUUCUUCCGGAACACACCUCCUAAUAACAUGGUCAGAACAUUCUCGAAACAAGUAUGGCUCAUCCCAAAAGUAAUUUUUAACGCCGAACAUGAAUGUCUUUUGUUGGUAAAAGGUCAACUCAUCCGAUAUCAGUCCACACACAAUGUAAUUCGAAAAAUCUACAUACCAUGGUGUAGGUUUGAGGGAUAUAGAAAACACCUAUUCAUUGAGGAAGGACUCGUCUAUGUCAACCUCACUCUUGGCAUCUUCCCUUUCUUCCCAUCUCAAUAAGUGGUCGCCCACUUGAUUUUUGCAUCCUUUUCAAUAUUUCACCUCAAAAUCAAACUUUUGUAAUAGUAGCACCCACCUUAUCAAUGUUGGUUUUGCAUCUUUCUUCGCAAUCAACUAGCGGAGUGCAGCAUGAUCAAUGUAUACUAUUACUUUGGUGCCUAGCAAGUAUGCCUGAAAUAUUUCAAAUGCAUAGACCACUGCGAGCAACUCUUGUUCAGUGACCGUAUAAUUUCGCUCGGCACUAUUUAAAAUUUUGCUGGUGUAGUAAAUUGGGUGAAAUAGUUUGUUGCAUUUUUUCCCCAACACUACCUACAAUACCAUACCACUAGUAUCACACAUUACUUCGAAAGAUUCGGACCAAUCAGGACUAACGAUAAUCGGGGUGGAUACUAAUUUUUUCUUCAAACUCUUAAAUGUGGCCAUACAAGCAUCAUUAAAAUAGAACUUCACUUCCUUCUCUAGGAGUUUGCAUAGUGGGUGCGAAAUCUUUGAGAAGUGUUUAAUGAACCAUUGGUAGAAACCUGCAUGCCCCAAGAGGCUAUGAAUACCCUUUGCUGAAAUUGGCGGGGGUAGUUUCUCAAUUACCUUAAUUUUUUCCUUAUCAACUUCUAGCCCUUUUUGGGACACUUUGUGUCCUAGAACAAUACCUUCAUUUACCAUGAAAUGACAUUUCUCCCAGUUUAGGACCAGGUUCGUUUCCAUGCAUCUUUGAAGCAUUUUCUCUAAGUGAGUUAAGCACUCUUCAAACGUAUCCCCUACGACUGAAAAGUCAUCCAUAAAUACUUCCAUAGAGUCUUCGACCAUAAUCCACAAAGAUAGACAACAUGCAACGUUGAAAUGUGGCUGGGGCGUUACAUAGUCCGAAUUGCAUUCUUUUGAAUGAAAUUGUUCCCUAAGGGCAAUUGAAAGUGGUGUUUACUUGGUCUUCCGGCGCAAUAGAGAUUUGAUUGUAACCGGAAUACCCAUCCAAAAAAUAAUACCACCCUCUUUCUAAUAACCGGUCAAGCAUCUGGUCCAUAAAAGGCAUUAGAAAAUGGUCUCUCUCGAUCCUGAGUUAAGCUUUCGAUAGUCCAUGCAUACUAUCCAUCCAGUCACUGGCCUUGUUGGCACAAGUUCUCCUUUUGCAUUAGGGAUUACGGUUAUACCUUUUUUUUUCGGUACACAUUUGACCGGACUUACCCACUUACUAUAUGCAAUAGGGUAGAUCACUCACACAUCUAGCCACUUGAUGAUCUCCUUUUUCACCACCUCUUGCAUUGGAGGGUUCAAUCUCCAUUGAUGCUCCACACUAGGUUUACAUUAACUGUCGAGCGGAAUCUUGUGAGUAUAGAUGCUAGGAGGAAUUCCUUCUAUAACGGCUAUUGUCCAUCCAAUAGCUUUUAUAUGCUUCCCCAAUACUUCAAUGAGAAAUUUCACCUUCCUUUCAAGCAAAUCGGUUGCAAUAAUCAGUGGUAAAGUAUUAUUGGCUCCUAAGAAGGCAUAUUUGAGAUGAAAGGGUAGGGCUUUUAACUCCAGACUCGGUGGUUCUACUGUUGAUGGCUUUGUAGGAGGACUUUCUCUGUUUUCAGGUCGAUAUCCAACUUGAUUGGAUUCCUUGAAUAUACUCUAAUUCUGAUAAGGAAGCUACCACUUCCUGAUUGCCUUGAACUUCAGAUUCAUCAUAAUUGGCAAGUACAGAUUCAAGGGGUUCAGUCUAGCGCAUUAAAUGGCUCACACUUGCCACUACCUCAUCUAUAAUAUACUCAGUAGACACCACAUGUAUAUUACUUGGUUGAUUCAUGGAUUUACAGAUAUUGAAGGUCACCUCAUCAUCGUUCACACGGAACUUCAAUUUCCCGCUUUCGACAUCCACCAGUGCUCUAUUGGUGGCUAUGAAUGGUCUUCCCAAAAUAAUGGGGAUUUCAGCAUCGAUCUCACAAUCAAGGAUCACAAAAUCAGUUGGAAAGAUUAACCGAUCUAAUUUUACCAAUAUGUCAUAGAGUAUCCCAAAUUCCCUUCAAGUUCUUUCUCAAAAUAUUCUCUAAGGCUAAGGAAGAUAAAGUUAGGGUUUCAAUCACCGAGAUCACAAACGCACUCUAGCAAUUGAGCUAUGAACUCCAAAGUAUGUAAGUCUUCACCAAUGUAGUCCUUCCUCUACAGGGUUCUCAAAAUCUUCAAUUUUACAAGUUAAAAUUCACAAUUAAAUGUGAGGAUUUUAUUCAAUAAUUAUGAGUUAUUUUAAAUUAUGAUUCAAUCGAUUGUUUUCAAUCUUUUUAUGUAUGAAUUGAAGUAAUUACAUGUUUUUUAGUUGAAUUCGUAUGAACUCAUGCAUGAUCCAUUAUUGUUGAAUUUGAACACAUGAUGAAGCUUAUGAACUAUGAUUUAUUGAAAUUAUGCACGUUUUAUGAAAGUAAUGAUUAUGACUCAUGCAAGCUUAUAGAUGAAGGUAUCAAUAUGUUUCAUGAAGUUUUGCCACAUGACUUGAAUGACAUCUAGAUUAUCCAUCAAUGCUUUUGGGAUAUUUUCCUAAAUUUUGUCUUGAUUAGUAUGGUAUCCGAAUAUUCCAUUUAUGAUUUUAGAUUACACUUUUAAAACUAUUUCCAUUAGUAGUAUGACAUUUUUAGUAUGAGCUUAAUGACUAUGAGUAUUAUAAAUCUAAUAUUUAAAGAUAAUGGAUGGUGAAAGGAUUUCUCAUGCAUGGUCUAAGGAGCUACUCUAUAAUGUUUCUAGCUUGGAUUGGUUUCUUAAUCGUACCUUUCCAUGGAUGAUAAAAAAGAAUAUGAUUAAAGACUAUUCCGUGGGAUGUUUUACUUACCACCGAGUGGAGUAGUAACAAUUACCCAUGUCCCAUAAACUAUGUGAUACUAUAGAAUGUUUUCUAAGAUAGACAUUAACUAGUGGAUCCACUUACGCUAGAAGUUCAUGGUUCUUAACUUAGCAAGUAGGAUACUCUGUUUUCGGUGUAGGUGUAAUACACUAGACUCCAUGUUAUAGUCACAUUAUUUAUGUCAGUUAAUGGUAAAUUUCCCACAAUAAUGAUCUGAGUUAAAUUCAAGGUACUUCAUCAAGGGUUUCAAUUAUAUUAAGUUUCCAUUGUAUAGAUCAUGAUUAUAGUUUAUGUUUUCUAACCUUUUUGUCUUAUGAUUUACUUUGUCAUUGCAUGUCAUGUAAAGUCUUUUUUAGUAUGAAUCAAAUGUUGGAUCCUUUAGCGGAAUCAGAUAGUUGAGGAUGUUACUUGGAAGGCCGAGAUCGAUGUGAAGUCCUGUUUUCCACAUCUAUUUCGCUCCGACCUCACUCUAGCUUGAGGUAUUUCAUUCUCAUCAUCCAUCCUUAUGUCUUAGUCAUUCUCAUAUUUCCUUAUGCAUGCAUGCUCAUGAAAACUUGAUUUUUGAGAAAAUGUGUUAGCUUGAUUGAUUUCUCCAUGUUUAUGUGCAUUUGAGUAUGAGUUGCAUAUAGGCCUUAUGAAAUGAUGCUUUCAGUAUGCUUUAGCUUGGAGUUGAGUUUCCUCCUCGAAUAUGUGCAUUUAUGUGAUUGCAUUAAUGUCGGGCUAUUAGAUCUAUUUGCUACCCUCUUUAUGAUGUCUUGAAUCCUAUUCGAGGAUGAAUAUUCCUAAGAAGGAGAUAUUGUAACACCUCGAAUUUUGAAAUAUGGAAAUGUGCAAAACCUGCAUGGUUGAUGUUUGUGUUUAUGGUCUCAACCUACGGUCCGUAGGGCUAUAACUGUAACAUUCCAGAAAUUAAUAGACUAAACUAGUAGGCGAAGCUAGAGCUUGAAGUUAGGGUCAGAGCCUUGAAAGUACUUGCCCGUACCUUAAAAUUCAUGUUUUCGUGUUAGAACGUCAAGGCCUAAACCCAAAGGACCAACCAUAGGUCCUUGAGGAAAAGACCUAGAAGGGCUGCCAGGCAGUGACACACGGAGGGCACCCACGCCUCGCGGGUCAACCCACGCUCCAUGGGUUGGCAUCCGUAGGUCCACCCCUAAGAAUAAAAGUCACUAACCACGACCCACGCUUCACCAGCAUGGGCCGUUGGUCCAUACACGGUCCGUGUGUGAGGGGGCCAUAUGUCAUACCUGGAAACCAUUUUUGUGAAUUAGUUAAGGGUUCUUUGGGGUUUUCCUUUUUCAUUAAUUAUUAAGUGACAUCAUUUUUUAAUAUUUAGACAAACUAUAUAAUGUUUUAAAGCCCCUAAAUCUAUUCAUCCUCCUCAUAAUUCCCAAAUUCACAAAUCAAAAUCAACUUCCCCCAAAAUCUUCUCUCUAGAACUCCAACGAAGAAGAAGACAAUCAUGCUAGGGUUUGAAGAAGAAGGGUUUUUCACACAAAUUCGUGGUAAUUCUUCAUCAAUGUAUGGUAGUUCUUCAUCCAUGGGUAGCCUUCACCCAUGAAGCCCUUUCCAAAACUCCAAUUUCAAAGUUAGUUAUCCCAAAAACCUAGGGUUGGACUUCAAUCCCAAGGAUUCCUUUCAAAUUCAUUUUAAUUGAUUGGAUUAUGUUUUAUUAUGGAUUAAUUGAUGAUUUUAUAUGAUUUUAAGUUGAAUUCCUCAAGAAUCUAUGAAUUUCCCUAUUUUCCCAAAUUGGAUCUAAAAGUGUGGGUGAAUUGUAGAAUGAGGAGUAUUAUGAAAUCAUGCUUAUAGUAAUAAUAGUAAUUGAAUCAUGUUAUCAUCCAUGUCUAAUGUAGUAACUCUAGAUAUGUUGGUUGAAUGUGAUCUAUGGUCCUUGUAGGGAAAAGCAUGAGAAUUAGGUAUUUUUAUGAGGCUUAUGUAUAUGCAUCUAUAUUACUUUGAGAGUAAAGUGAAUAUGAUUGUGAUCUAAUUGUUGUGUUGGUUGGGUCAUUACCCUCAUGUACACACUUAUGUAUGAAUAUGAUAUGAUGUGAAAGGUUUGUCACAUGUAGUGAUUCUAAGGUUGGAAGACUAGUCUCCCCUAUUGAAUCUAUGAGCUAUAGUAUGAAUUAUAUUGGAUUGAGUGUAAACACAUUCCUCCAUUAAUAUGAACUUAAGUCAAGACUUAAUAGAUAACCUAUGGGAAUUAUUGCUUAGCACCAAGUGGAUAUGAAUAUGAGAUGGAAUUUUAUUCGAUAGUUGAGUCCGGCUUCCCCUUGAAAACUUAUACACUAGUUGAGUCCGGGUUCCCAAAGUAGGUAUCUCAUGAUAUGGAAACCUUCUACCUUAGUUGAAUCUGGGUUUCUAGAAGCAAUCUCCUUAUCCCAUAAACUAAGUGCCCAAAUAGGUCUUUAUCUAGUGGAUCAACCUAAGCUAAGAGUUUUGUUCUACCUUAGGCAAGUACGACAACCCCUUUUCGGUGUGGGGUAGACACCGGAUUCCAUGAUUAAGCUCACAUGGUCUAUGUCGGUUAACGAUAAUCCCAUUAUGAUAAUAUGAUUUAUGAACUAUAGUUACUCAAUAAGCUUUGCUUAGUGUGGGUAGGAUUAUGGGAUCUUAUUCAUGCAUUGUAGAAGAAUACUUUGAGGGUAUUUAUGGUAUGUUUCCAAUAUGAUUUGAUGACCUAUAUGUUGAAUAUGCUUAUAACUUAUUCUUUUGCACUAAUCCUCAUGGUUAUUCUUAAACUUGGUAAAAUGCAUGCUUUACAACUAAAAUGUCCCUUUUUGCAUGUUUCAAGAUUUUUAUGCAUGGCUACCAUACUUAGAAUAUCUUUGUACUAACCCAUGUUUUCUACAUUUUCUAUAAGUAUAUGGUCUGGUGAUUGAGGUUAUCUUCCUCCUUUAUCAAAGCUUGGAUCAUCUAUUCUUCUUGCUUUUGGUGAGUCCUCAUGCUUCGAGGACGGAUGCUGACUUUUGCAGUUUCUUUUUCUUGUACUUUCAUUUGAGAACUAUGUUGUCAGGGUUGUGGCCCUAUUUGAUACUUCGAUUGUAAUAGAUGGGUAAUUGAGACAAGUCUAGACUUCCACUUUGAUUUUAUGAAACUUUUGGACUUAAAUGUGUUUUUACUGUUUUUAUUCUAAUGCUUUAUGUUAUGAUAUGCUAAGUGUCUUACAUGGUUCCUUUAGAGUUUCUAUGUGCCUUGUUAUGUCUAGGGGGUACCCUUGGGUCAUGAAAAACAUGGUAAUUAGAGCAAAAGGUUUAGAAUGAUUCUAGGAUGAUUCUCAUAAGCCACGUCCAAUAGAGUCUUGUUAAUGAGUGUGAAGCGCACAACAUUUUUGAAUAACAGGUUAUAAGAUCUUAGGAAAUUUCACUUCUUUCAUUACUCUUAAGUCGUGUCUUAGAAUUUAACUCUAUAAAAGUCCCUCUCUUAAUCCUUCUUUUGUGUCUUCAGUAAAUGAAUACACGAAGGGCUAAUAUAAGAAGGGUGGAUAAGGAGAAUAUGAAUCAAGGAGUUUCUCAAGGUAAUCAAGACCCUCAAGUUAACGAAGCUACGGUUGAUCCCGUAAUGGAGAAUGUGACCCAUGCGGAGUUUAGGUCUACUAUCCAAUUGUUGGUUCAAGUUGUGAAAACUCAAGCCAAUAGAGAGGUGAUUGCUCCUAUGAAUACUAAUGUGAAUUAUGUUGCUUCUAGAUUGAGGGAUUUUGCUAGGAUGUACCCUCUCGUGUUUCUUGGAUCCAAAGUGCGAGAGGAUCCUCAAGAGUUUUUGGAAGAGGUUUAUAAGAUAAUUGAUGCCUUUAGGGUGACUUCGGUAGAGAAAGCGGAGCUAGCCGCUUAUCAAUUGAAGAGCGUUACUCAAGUAUGGUAUACCUAAUGGAUGAACAAUAGGUUGGUAGGAGCGGGUCUAAUAGAGUGGGAAGUGUUCGAAUCUGUGUUCCUUGAUAGGUUCUUUCCCCGAGACUUGAGGGAAGCUAAGGUGGAAGAAUUCUUUAACCUUCGUCAAGGAGGUAUGAGUGUUCAAGAAUAUUCUCUAAAGUUUACCCAAUUGUCCAAGUAUGCUCUAGCUUUGGUUGCGGUCUCAAGGAAUAUGAUGAGUAGGUAUUUGAUGGGUUUGUCUAGAUUUGUGAGAAAAUAAUGUUUUUCGGCAAUGCUUCAUGAUAAUAAGGAUAUCUCACGUCUGGUGGUGUAUGCUCAACAAAUGGAGGAAGAGAAACUCCAUGAAAACAAUAGGGAGGUGAAAAGAGCUAGAACCAGUGAUGGGAAUUUCUCCAAUGCUAGGUCUGAUGUACAAGGUCAACUAAGGUUCAAGCAAAGGUUCACCAACCAAGGCUCUUCUAGUUCUCCCCCAAGGUCAACAAUGAUAGGUCGUCUAACCCUAAACCUCAAGGAUGCAAUAGUGGUGGUUCCUAUGUUGCUAGGCCAAGUUGUGCAAAGUGUGGUAGUAAACAUGAUGGCAAAUGCUUAGUUGGCUUGAAUGGGUGCUAUGGUUGUGGGAAGAGUGGCCACAAGAUGAGAGAUUGUCCUAUGCUCAAGGUUAAAGGGAAAGAAGAUAAGAAAGCUUCUCUAAGAGGUUCAAAAUCCAAUGCUCAAAAGCAAAACCGCUUUUAUGCUCUUCAAUCCCGAGGUGACCAAGAGAGCUCCCUGGUUGUGGUAAUUGGUAUGUUGCAAGUCUCUUAUAUUGUUGUAUAUUCUUUGUUAGAUCCCGGUGCCACUUUGUCCUUUGUGACACCUUUUGUGGCCACGAAGUUUCAAAUUCUCCCCGAAGUGUUAGUAAAGCUUUUUGCAGUUUCUACCCUGUUUGGUGACUCAGUGAUGGCUAAAAGAGAAUAUAGAAGUUGUCCAAUUUGUUGUUCCAUAAAGUUACCUUGGUGGAUUUGGUUGAGUUAGACAUGUUAGACGUUGAUGUGAUUUUAGGUAAGGAUUGGUUACAUGCAUGUUCUGCCUCUAUAGAUUGUAGGACUCGGGUGGCUAGGUUCUAUUUCCCAAAUGAGCCUAUUUUAGAGUGGAAGGGAGGAAAUUCUAUCUGUAGAGGUUAAUUUGUUUCUUGCCUUAAAGCUAGGAAAAUGAUCUCCAAAGGGUACAUUUACCAUCUUGUUAGGGUGAUGGAUGUUGCGUCCAAAAUUCCUUCCCUAGAGUCAGUUCCGGUAGUGAAUGAGUUCCCGGAAGUUUUUCCUAAUCAUUUACCCGGUAUUCCCCCUGAGAGAGAAAUUGAUUUUGUCAUUGAUCUUUUACCGGAUACGCAACCUAUCUCCAUUCCUUAUUAUAAAAUGGCUCCGGCCGAGUUGAAAGAGUUGAAGGAACAAUUAAGGGAUUUGCUAGUUAAGAGUUUUAUUCGUCCGAGUAUCUCUCCAUGUGGUGCUCCGGUGGUUUUUAUUAGAAAGAAGGAUGGGUCUCUUAGAAUGUGCAUUAAUCACCGUCAAUUAAACAAAGUGACCAUCAAUAAUAAAUAUCAUGUUCCAAGAAUUGAUGACUUGUUUGAUAAACUUCAAGGGGCUAGCUAUUUCUCCAAAAUUGAUCUUCGUUCGAGUUACCACCAACUAAGGGUGAGAGGGGUAGAUAUUCCCAAGAUGGCGUUUAAGACCCGGUAUGGUCACUAUGAAUUUUUGGUUAUGUCAUUUUGGUUGAGAAAUUCCCCGGCAGGAUUUAUGGAUUUCAUGAAUAGAGUGUUCCAACAAUAUCAGGACAUGUUUGUGAUAGUGUUUAUUGAUGAUAUUUUGAUCUAUUCAAGUAGUGAGAAUGAGCAUAUUGACCAUUUGAGGAUUGUAUUACAAGUUCUUAAGGACCAACAACUUUUUGCAAAGUUUAGCAAGUGUGAAUUUUGGUUGAGGUCCGUUGCUUUCCUUGGUCAUAUUGUGUCAAGCAAGGGUACUGCGGUAGAUCAUAAGAAGACGGAUGUAACACCCCAAAAAUGCUAACAAGAGUCGCAUGUCGAUAAACCACAGCUUAAUUAUUACAAUAUGUUUAAUUCUCAUUUUGGGAAAUUGAAAUAAUGUUAUAUUUGCAACCUUGCUUAAAAUAAUUGUCAUCGUAAUUUACUGUAUAGUAUGGGGGUAUUUGCGUAAUGUUUUCAUAAGAAAUAUGUAUAGAUUUAAAAGGAGGUGAAGGAUAUAUAUAUAUAUGUAUAUAUAGGUGUAUAUGUAUGCAUUUGGGCAGCACACAAGUAUUUGGGCAGCCAACUUUUAUGCACAGCUGUGUAUAUGAUAAGCACCUCUUGUGUUACUAUAUUUUGACACCUCCUCUUAGGAAAUUCGUCUUACCUGAAGUAUAAGUCCCUUAGAACACUAUCUAACCUGUUGUUCUUCAUGAUCACAAGAGAAAAUCUUGGUCCUUUUGGCUGGAAAUCGAGUUACACUCUUCUCUUUGGUAAGUGGUAAAACCUGCUUUUGAGCUGGGUAGCGUUUGGUAGAUUAAGCAUAUCUCGUUCUAUAGAUCUUUGUUGACGGUGAAUAAAUAUAAUUUGGAAAGAUAAUUCGUAUAUGUACAACUCUUAUGUUUAUGUUAAACUCUAAUUUAGUUGUUAUGGAUUCGAAAUAUGGGACGCAUCAUAGGACAAGUUCUGUCCAGAUUCUGAAGUUUGAAAUCAUGUAUGGACAGCUGUUAGUGUUUUGAAUAUAUCUUUUUAUCAAAAAUACAUUUUGCGUUGAUUCUUCGUUGUUUGCAACCUUAAGAAAGGUACCCACAUCUUUCAUGAAGAGUAUACAGUCCAGUUUUGCCGUUUCCCUUUUCAAAUCUUAGUUGCGACAUGAUGCACUAGGAUGGCCAGAAUUUACUGUUUGGGAGCAUAGUCGUAUUUGUACAGGCUAGGCUUACUUGUGAUGAUAACCCUAUUUUACGUCAUCAUUAUGGAGCUGCUAGAAAGUAAAUAAGUUAUUAAAUUCAUUUUUUUAAGGUUGUAUAUCCUCAUGUACAAGUUGAGGUCUUUGAUACGCUGCUAGGUCUACGAUUUGACUCGUGGAGUUUUGUUGGACUGUUUUUGUGCUAAAGAACUGAGGUUUGUGUAUAAACUGAUACUUUUACUCUUUUUACCUACUGGUAUAUCUGAAAGUUAUUUUGGUUCCUUGGUUACCUCUUGUCACUUUGCAUUGUCAUAUUCGUAUUCUUUAAUACAUUAAAGACGGUUAUGUAACUCGCCCACUUGUACGGAUUGUUUGAUCACUUAGCACUCUUGUUGGGACGUUGUCCUUCUUGUGGCUGUGACUUUGUCAGUCUUGGCAUGCCUCUUGGUUCAGAUCAUUUGCCAUCUUGACUCUGGAUUUUUAGUUCGUCUUAAGAAUGGAGGUUGUCCAUUUUAAGUACGAACUAGGAAGCCAUUUUUUAAUAUGGUUCUUGGUUCUCUUGAUUAUUGAGUUUUGACCGUUCUUGAUACCUGCUCGUGCUUGGUGUGACGACAUGAUGUAUAUAUUGGGUGAGCCUUGUAAUUGAAUCUCUUGAAAAGUUGUGCUAUGAGCAUUCUUGACAUUUGGACAUUUAAAUAUUGAACUUGAUACUUCUUCUAUACUGUUUACUUGAUUUACUGAUUUUGUUUCGAUCGUGCUGCCCUUGACUUGAGAAUGAUAACUUGGUGAAUUUAAGGGCUCCAAACCUAUAGUUUGUACACCACUAAGCUAUAUGCUUAGCGAUAGUUGUUUCUAUCGUAGGGGUUGUUCGCGAUGAUGCUUGAAGCUGGCCAUUGCUGAUGGAGAUUUUGAAAGCCUUAAGGAAGAUCACAUUUGCAUAUAGGCAUAUAUAUUUUGUAUAACCUUGGGACUUGUACAUGAUCCUUUUGUUGUAUAUUUAUAGGAGAUUUUGAGGUCUGAUUUGGUCAUGUCACCAUGGGUUGUAAUAUAAGUAUGGUUAUACGUUUUUAUCUUUUUGUGGUGUGUAAACCCAAGUCUUGUAAUAUACUAAUUUGCUAUAUGUCUUGAAAGUUGUUUGAAGCAUGAUCCGACUGAUUUCGGUACUCGGAAGGUUGUAAUAUUCUUGUUAUUUCACACUCGAGUGUGAGGUUAACAUAUGCAUAAAGAUCUGGUCGGUUAAUUUCUUAAAUGUUAUAUUAUUAUUUUUUGGAGUUCGUUCUGAAUCUAAUCCCUCUACUAGAUUAAAAUAUGUAUGCCCUCAUUAAUUGGUUUUAAAUGUCGCAAGUAUUUAAUUAGAUUUCUUGUUUAAGUAGUGGUAUCGUUUUGAAAGGAUUGCUACAAGUGUUGGUAUCCGAGCUUAGGUUUGUGGUUCUAGGACUUUUGUUGUGUAUUACUAAUAUAGUUGUUUGCUUUCAAAAAAGGUUCUAUUUAGAUUAUUUGUUUGCUUAUAUGGUUUAUGAUAAUUGCAUCGCAUGUAGAGUGCAUAUGCAUCUAGUACAUAUACCUAAUGCAAUGUGAUCUUCCCUUUUGAAGGAAUUAAGUUAUGGCCACUUCUUCUGAUCAACCUAUGGAAGCUGCUCGUGAAGGUUCGGGUGCCUCUGUUUCCCAACCUCAUGCACUGGAAGGGGUUGGAGAACAUAUCUCGAAUCAGUAUGUUCCCCACACUAGCGGUUCUGAAGUGGGAAACCAUCAGGGUGUAAGAGCUGGUCCACAUCUACACAUGAGUCAUGGUACUCAAACCAUAAAUCCUUAUUUUCAGCAAAUGGCUGAAUUCUUCCACCAUAUGGCUGAAUAGAUGCAUGAUCCCCACAGGAUUAACUUUAAGAAAAUGAGGAAAAUGGGUGGAGUGGAGUUUGAAGGCACUGUUGAUCCCACAGAUGUUGAACAAUGGCUUGAUUGCAUGGAGAGGGUAUUUGAGCAGUUAGAGUGUUCAGAUGUUGCCAAAUUUAAGUAUGCUAUUUCACUAUUACAAAAAGAUGCUUAUGAUUGGUGGGUAAGGGUUCUGAACACCAAGGUAAAACCUUAUGUUCUUACUUGGGAUGAUUUUCUUAAGGAAUUUCCUAUGAAGUAUGUCCCACCUGCUUAUUGUGAUGCAAAGAAAAAAGAGUUUUUGAAUCUAAGGGAAUGAGGCAUGUCUAUUGCUGAAUACGAACAAAAGUUUCUAAGGCUCUCUCACUAUGCUGGUGGUAUUAUUAAAGAGGAAAAAGACAAGUGCAGGAAAUUUGAAGACGGUUAAAAUUAUUACAUAAGGAAGAAUGUGGCGAUCCUGCAACAUCAGAAAUUCUGUAAGUUAGUGUCUGUUGCUUCUAUUUGAGAACAACUUGAUAAAGAAGAAACUAGUAGAAAUGAAAACAGAAUCCGAAAGCCUAGACCAAAUUUUGGGGGUCCAUCCAAAAGGGGAAGGUUUGAUAAUUCUAAGGCUGGUAGUGAUAACAGGCCACCUCAACAAAGGCAAAACAAAUCAGAAGUUUCUAUAGCUAGCACUCCAAAUUAUGGCCAAGGCAAACCUCGUGUUCCUACUUGUUCACAAUGUGGAAAGAAUCCUUAUGGCACUUGUAGGAGAGCUUCUAGUGCAUGUUUCAAUUGUGGGAGCUUUGAUCAUAAAGUGAAAGAUAGUCCUAAUCCUAGUAAUGCUCCUUCCUUUAAAACUGAAGGCUCAGUUCAUAAGCCUUCUGUUAAUCCUCCUCAAACUAAUAGAGGUGCAAGACCUAAAAACACCCAGGCAGCAGGUACACGUGGAGUUAAUCAAGAAAGUGGGCAAAAGGCUACUGCACGCCCUUAUGCGAUAUGGCAGAAGGAUGAUCAAGAUGGACAAGACGUGGUUGUCGGUAAAUUUCACUUAUUUGGCUUAUGUGUGUUUACAUUGUUUGAUCCUGGUUCUACACAUUCUUAUAUUUGUUCAUCACUUCUUCUUCCCGAAAAUGUGAAAUCUGUGAGACUUGAUUAUACUGUGCUAGUUGAAAGUCCUUUGGGUUAUCAAGUUGUGUGUAAUCGAGUGUACCAAGAUUGUCCCUUUGUGAUUCAAAACAUAGUCUUUCAUGGUGAUUUGAUUGAAAUGCCCUUCAAUGAUUUUUAUGUUAUUAUCGGGAUGGAUUGGGUUUAUAAAUAUCCUGCGGUGGUAGAUUGUAGGUCUAAGCAUGUGACUUUUAAAGAGCCUACAUUUUUACACAUCAUUGUACAAAGUGCAAGAUCAAUGAGAUCUAGUAUUAUUUCUGUGGCCUUGGAAAGAAAGUUGAUGCGUCAAGGUUGUGGGGCAUACCUUGCUCACAUAGUUGAUAUACAAUUGAAGAGUCCUUGUAUUAAAGACAUACCUAAUGUAUGUGAUUUUCCAGAAGUAUUUCUAGAAAACCUUCUCGGAUUGCCCCCGGAAAGACAGGUUGAAUUUCCAAUCGAGCUUAUCCCAGGAUCUACCCCUAUUUCUAUCACUCCUUAUAGAAUGGCUCCAACAGAAUUAAGAGAAUUGAAAUCUCAAUUGCAAGAACUUCUUGAGAAAGGUUUUAUUCGACCUAGUGUUUCUCCUUGGGGAGCCCCUGUUUUAUUCGUAAACAAGAAAGAUGGCACUCUUAGGGUUUGUAUUGACUAUAGACAAUUGAACAGAAUAACAAUCAAGAAUAUAUAUAUGUUGUCAAGGAUCGAUGAUUUGUUUGACCAACUUAAGGGAGCUAUAGUAUUCUCAAAAAUUGAUUCAAGGUUUGGAAAUCAGCAACUGCGGGUUAGAGAGAAUGAUAUUCCUAAAACUGCUUUUAGAACUCGGUAUGGUCAUUAUGAAUUUUUGGUGAUGCCAUUCGGAUUGACAAAUGCUCCAGCAGUAUUUAUGGAUCUAAUGAAUCGAGUAUUCAAACCUUAUCUUGAUCAGUUUGUGGUUGUUUUUACAGAAGAUAUUUUAAUAUUUUCCAGAAGUAAUAAUACCAUAAUAAACACCUCCGGAUUAUUUUGCAAAUUUUGAGGGAGAAAGAGCUUUAUGCUAAACUUUCCAAGUGUGAAUUUUGGCUUGAUGAAGUAGCUUUUCUCGGAUAUGUUGUAUCAACAGAAGGUGUGAAGGUGGAUCCUAGUAAGAUACAAGCGGUUGUUGAAUGGAGACCUCCUAAAAGUCCAACCGAGGUAAGAAGUUUCUAGGGCUUAGCAGGAUACUAUAGAAGAUUUGUGAAAGGCUUCUCCAUUAUCGCCUCCCCUUUGACUAAGCUCUUGCAUAAAGAAGUAAUGUUUAUUUGGGAUUACAACUGUCAAGAGAGCUUUGAAACUCUCAAAUCCUUGUUGACUCAAGCUCCUAUACUUACUCUACCGAUUGAAGGGAAAGAAUAUGUAGUUUACAGUGAUGCUUCUCACAAUGGUCUAGGAUGCAUUUUGAUGUAAGAAGGGAAGGUUAUUUAUUAUGCCUCUCAAAAAUUAAAACUGCAUGAAUUGAAUUAUCCUACUCAUGAUCUUGAACUUGCUGUUGUAGUGUUUGCUUUAAAAAUAUGGCGGCAUUAUUUGUAUGGAGAGAAAAGUCAUAUAUUCAGUGGUCAAAAGAGCUUAAAGUACUUGGUUACUCAAAAGGAGCUAAACCUUCAACAAAGUAGAUGGCUUGAACUCAUCCAGGAUUAUGACUGCACGAUUGAUUAUCAUCUAGGUAAAGCCAAUGUGUUUGCAGAUGCCUUAAGUGGGAAAUCCUUCGCAAGCAUUUCUUUGAGCCUUUACCCUUGCUCCUUAAGUUAAAAGCCUUGAAUGUUUGUUUUACACUUGAUUCAAAUGGUUCAGUUAUUGCUAAUUUGCAAGAAAAACCAAUAUUACUUGAAUAAGUGAAAGAAGCACAAAAGUUAGAUGAGAAACUUGUAAAAUUGACCAGAGAAGUUCAAAGUGGAAAAAACCUUGAUUUUACAUUUACGGAGGAUGGUGGCUUGUUUUAUCAAAACAGGUUAUGAGUCCUUAAUGAUGACAACUUGAGGAGAGAAAUAUUGAAUGAAGCACAUACUUCAUCAUAUGCAAUGCAUCCUGGAGGUACAAAGAUAUACCAGACCAUCAAAGAAAAUUAUUGGUGGAAUGGUAUGAAGAGAGACAUUGCGGAGUUCAUCUAUAAAUGUUUGGUUUGCCAACAAGUAAAGGCAGAACAUCAAGUCCCAGUUGGUUUACUACAGCCCUUGUCGAUGCCGCAAUGGAAAUGGCAGAGAAUAACAUUGGACUUUAUUUCAGGACUUCCUCGCACUCAAAGGAGCCAUAAUGCAAUAUGGGUGAUUGUGGACAAGCUAACUAAGAGUGCUCACUUCUUAGCAAUCAGGAUGGAUUACUCACUUGAGCAUUUAGCCGAAUUGUACAUUAAUGAGAUUGUAAGACUACAUGGGAUACCUGUAUCUAUUGUAUCAGAUAGAGACCCAAGGUUUACAUCUAGAUUUUGGGGUAGCUUGCAGGAAGUUUUGGGUACUAAGUUGAAAUUUAGCACUUCGUUCCAUCCUCAAACAGACAGCCAGUCGGAAAGAGUGAUACAAAUUUUGGAGGAUAUGCUUCGAGCUUGCAUUAUGGAGUUUGAGGGUAGUUGGGACAAACACUUGGCUUUGAUUGAAUUCGCUUACAAUAACAGUUACCAAUCUCUGAAUGCCUCCCUAUGAAGCCUUAUACGAAAGAAAAUGUCGAACCCCUCUUUGUUGGAGUGAAGUUGGUGAAAAAAAGCUUGUUGGUCCUGAAAUUGUGCAACAAACAGAGGACAAGGCAAAAAUUAUCAAAGAUCGUCUAAAGAUUUCUGCGGAUAGACAAAAGUCGUACGCUGAUCUAAAAAGGCGUGAUACUGAAUAUCAAGUUGGAGAUAAAGUCUUCUUAAAGGUGUCUCCAUGGGAAUGCCUCCCUAUGAAGCCUUGUACGGAAGAAAAUGUCGGACCCCUCUUUGUUGGAGUGAAGUUGGUAAAAAAAAACUUGUUGGUCCUGAAAUUAUGCAACAAACAGAGGACAAGGUAAAAAUUAUCAAAUAUCGUCUAAAGAUUUCAUCGGUUAGACAAAAGUCGUACGCUGAUCUUAAAAGGCAUGAUAUUGAAUAUCAAGUUGGAGAUAAAGUAUUCUUAAAGGUGUCUCCAUGGAAAAAUAUUAUGAGGUUUGGCCAGAAAGGAAAGCUUAGCCCCCGAUUUAUUGGACCUUAUGAGAUACUUGAAAGGGUUGGACCAGUUGCAUAUAAAUUGGCUUUGCCACCUGAGUUAGACAAGAUCCACAAUGUCUUCCAUGUUUCUAUGCUUAGAAGAUAUCGUUCUGAUCCAUCUCAUGUUCUUCCAGUCGAAUGUAUUGAGGUUAAUCCUGACUUGACGUUUAAUGAAGAACCUAUUCUAAUUCAAACUCGAGAAGUAAAAGCAACUUAGAAACAAGAGAAUUCCCUUAGUAAAGAUACUUUGGAGGAACCAUUCUGGAAAAGAAGCUACGUGGGAAAGAGAAGAAGACAUAAGAACCCAGUAUCCGCACUUGUUCCGGGACUAGUGUAAGGUAAAUUUGGAGACGAAAUUUCUUUAAGGGGGAGAGAGUUGUAACGCCCCGAUAAUGCUAACAAGAGUUGUAUGUCGAUAAACCACUGCUUAAUUAUUACAAUAUGUUUAAUUCACAUUUUGGGAACUUGAAAUAGUGUUAUACUUGCAACCUUGCUAAAUAUAAUUAUCAUCGUAAUUUAAUGUAUUGUAUGGGGGUAUUUGCGUAAUGUUUAAAUUAGAAAUAUGUAUAGAUUUAAAAGGAGGUGAAGGAUAUAUACAUAUAUAUAUUGGUGUAUAUGUAUGCAUUUGGGCAGCCAACUUUUAUGGACAGCUGUGUAUAUGAUAAGCACCUCUUGUGUUACUAUGUUUUGACACCUCCUCUUAGGAAAUUCGUCUCACCUGAAGUAUAAGUCCCUUUGAACAUUAUCUAACCUGUUCUUCUUCAAGAUCACAAGAGAAAAUCUUGGUCAUUUUGGCUGGAAAUCGAGUUACACUCUUCCCUUUGGUAAGUGGUAAAACCUGCUUUUGAGCUGGGUAGCAUUUAGUAGAUUAAGCAUAUCUCGUUCUAUAGAUCUUUGUUUACUGUGAAUAAAUAUAAUUUGGAAAGAUAAUUCGUAUAUGUACAACUCUUAUGUUUAUGUUAAACUCUAAUUUAGUUGUUAUGGAUUCGAAAUAUGGGACGCAUCAUAGGACAAGUUCUGUCCAGAUUCUGAAGUUUGAAAUCCUGUAUGGACAGCUCUUAGUGUUUCAAAUAUAUCUUUUUAUCCAAAAUACAUUUUGCGGUGAUUCUUCAUUGUUUGCAACCUUAAGAAAGGUACCCACAUCUUUCAUGAAGAGUAUACAGUCCAGUUUUGCCGUUUCCCUUUUCAAAUCUUAGUUGCGACAUGAUGCACUAGGAUGGCCAAAAUUUACUGUUUGGGAGCAUAGUCGUAUUUGUACAGGCUAGGCUUACUUGAGAUGAUAACCCUAUUUUACGUCACCAUUAUUGAGCUGCUAGAAAGUAAAAAAGUUUGUAUAUUCUCGUGUACAAGUUGAAGACUUUGAUACGCUGCUAGGUCUACGAUUUGACUCGUGGAGUUUUGUUAGACUAUUUUUGUGCUAAAGAACUGAGGUUUGUGUAUAAACUGAAACUUGUACUCUUUUUACCUGCUGGUAUAUCUAAAAGUUAUCUUGGUACCUUGGUUACCACUUGUCACUUUGCAUUGUCGUAUUGGUAUUCUUUAAUAUAUUAAAGAAUAUUAUCAAACUCGCCCACUUGUACAGAUUGUUUGAUCACUUAGUAUUCUUGUUGGGACGUUGUCCUUCUUGUGGCUGUGACUUUGUCACUCUUGGCAUGCCUCUUGGUUCGGAUCAUUUGCCAUCUUGACUCUGGAUUUUUAGUUCGUCUUAAGAAUGGUAGUUGUCCAUUUUAAGUAUGAACUAGGAAGCCUAUUUUUUUAAUAUGGUUCUUGGUUCUCUUGAUUAUUGGGGUUUUGACCCUUCUUGAUACCUGCUCGUGCUUGGUGUGACGACAUGAUGUAUAUAUUGGGUGAGCCUUGUUAUUGAAUCUCUUGAAAAGUUGUCCUAAGAGCAUUCUUGACCGUUGGACCUUUAAAUAUUGAACUUGAUACUCCUUGUAUAUUGUUUACUUGAUUUACUGAUUUUGUUUCGAUCGUGCUGCCCUUGACUUGAGAAUGAUAACUUUUUGAAUUUAAGGGCUCCAAACCUAUAGUUUGUACACCACUAAGCUAUAUGCUUAGCAAUAGUUGUUUCUAUCGUAGGGGCUGUUCGCGAUGAUGCUUGAAGCUAGCCAUUGAUGAUGGAGAUUUUGAAAGCCUGAAGGAAGAUCAUAUUUGCAUAUAGGCAUAUAUAUUUUGUAUAACCUUGGGACUUGUACAUUAUCUUUAUGUUGUAUAUUUACAGGGGAUUUUAAGGGCUGAUUUGGUCAUGUCACCAUGGGUUGUAAUAUAAGUAUGGUUAUACGUUUUUAUCCUUUUGGGUUGUGUAAACCCAAGUCUUGUAAUGUACUAAUUUGCUAUAAGUCGUGAAAGUUGUGUGAAGCAUGAGCCGGCUGAUUUCGGUACUCGGAACCUUGUAAUAUUCUUGUUAUUUCACCCUCGAGUGUGAGGUUAACAUAUGCAUGAAGAUCUGGUUGGUUAAUUGCUUAAAUUGUUUUUUUUUCAAGUUCGUUGUGAAUCUAAUCCCUCUAAUAGAUUAAAAUCAGUAUGCCCUCAUUAAUUGGUUUUAAAUGUCGCAAGUAUUUAAUUAGAUUUCUUGUUUAAGUUGUGGUAUCAUUUUGAAAGGAUUGCUACAAUGGAUGUGGUCAAGAGUUGCCGAAUACCUCUAACUCCAACUGACAUUAGAAGCUUUUUGGGUUUGGCCGGUUACUAUAGGAAGUUUGUUGAGUAGUUUUCCUCCAUUGCUUCUCCGUUAACGACUGUGACUCAAAAGAAGGCUAAGUUUGAGUGGUCAGAGGCUUGUGAGAAAAGCUUCUAAGAGUUGAAAGAUAGACUUACUUCCACUCCGGUGUUGACCUUACCGGAGGGUACAAAUUGUUUUGUUGUAUAUUUUGACGCCUCUUGAGUUGGGUUGGGAUGUGUGCUCAUGCAAUAUGGUAAGGUGAUUGCCUAUGCUUCACGGCAACUUAAGGCCCAUGAGAAGAAUUAUCCGACCCAUGAUCUUGAAUUAGCGGCGGUAGUAUUUGCCUUGAAAAUAUGGAGACAUUAUUUGUAUGUGGUCCAUGUGGAUGUCUUCACCGAUCACAAGAGUGUUCAAUAUGUAUUUAGUCAAAAAGACUUGAAUCUCCGACAAAGAAGGAGGUUAGAACUUUUGAAAGAUUAUGACAUAAGUGUCCUUUAUCACCCCGACAAAGCUAAUGUGGUAGCGGAUGCACUUAGUAGAUUGUCCAUGGGUAGUGUGGCUCGUGUAGUAGAUGAAAAGAAAUAAUUGAUUCGUGAGGUGCAUAGAUUGGCCUGGCUAGUUUUCCAACUAGUGGAUUCCACCGAGGGUGUAUUCAUGGUUCAUAAUGGCUCUGAAUCGUCCUUUGUGGUGGAUUUGAAGUCUAAACAAGACUUUGAUCCUAUAUUAGUUGAAUUGAAAGAGUCGGUACUCAAGAAGUCCGCUGAGGCUUUCUCCCAAGGGGGAGAUGGGGUACUUAGGUACCAAGGUCGAUUAUCUGUUUUUUAUGUUGAUGGUUUGAGGGAACAAUUUUUAGAGGAGGCUCAUAGUUCUCCGUAUUCUAUUCAUUCAGGAGCCACCAAGAUGUACCCUGAUCUACGAGAAGUCUAUUGGUGGAAUGAUAUGAAAAGGGAUAUUGCAAAAUUUGUAGCCAAAUGUCCCAAUUGUCAACAAGUUAAGGUUGAGCAUCAAAGGCUGGGAGGCUUUUUGCAAGAUAUACCAAUUCCCACUUGGAAUUGGGAAGUGAUCAAUAUGAAUUUUAUUAUGGGUUUGCCUCGUACCCGAAGGCAACAUGAUUCUAUUUGGAUCAUUAUAGAUAGGAUGAAAAAAUCAGCCCACUUUAUUCCCGUCAAGGUAUAUCAUUCGGCAGAAGAUUAUGCCAAUUUGUAUAUAAGGGAGAUAGUGAAGUUACAUGGAGUUCCUUUAUCCAUCAUUUUGGAUCGGGGUACUCAAUUUACUUCACACUUUUGGAAGUCAUUCCAAAAAGGGCUUGGUACUAAGGUCAAGCUUAGCACGACUUUUCAUCCCCAAACGGAUGGUCAAGCGAAACGAACCAUUCAGACCUUAGAGGACAUGUUGAGGGCAUGUGUGAUAGAUUUUAAAGGUAAUUGGGAUGACCACUUACCAUUAAUAGAGUUUGCCUAAAAUAAUAGUUAUCAUUAUAGUAUUGGUAUGGCUCCCUUUGAAGCCUUGUAUGGUAGGAGAUAUAGGUCUCCGGUUGGUUGGUUUGAGGUAGGUGAAAUUGCUCUUAUUGGUCCCGAGUCGGUUUAUGAAGCUAUGGAAAAAGUUUGGGUCAUUAGAGAGAGGCUGAGAACGACACAAAGUAGACAAAACUCUUAUGCCAAUGUGAGGAGAAGGGAUCUAGAAUUUGAAGUUAAUGAUUGGGUCUAUUUGAAAAUCUCACCCAUGAAGGGUGUGAUGAGGUUUGGCAAGAAAGGUAAACUUAGUUCCCGGUAUGUAGGCCCAUAUCAAAUUUUGUAAUGUAUUGGGAAGGUUGCCUAUCAGUUGUAUUUGCCAAAUGAGUUUGCCCCGGUCCAUCCGGUAUUUCAUGUUUCUAUGUUUAAAAAGUGUAUUGGAGAUCCAACAUCCAUUAUUCCCCUAGAAGGGUUUGGAGUUGAUGAAAUUCUUUCAUAUGAAAAGGUUCCAGUACAGAUCUUAGACCGGCAAGUCCAGAGAUUGAGAAAUAAAGAAAUAGCUUUCGUGAAAAUUUUGUGGUGAAAUUAUUUAGUUAAUGGUGCUACUUGGGAGGCCGAGGCCAAUAAGAAGUCCCGAUAUCCUCAUCUCUUUUCUUCUACUCCUAUUCAAGCUUGAGGUAAAUAGUUCCUCUUGAGUUUUAGUGUCUUGGAAGUCAUGUGUGUUAUAUGAGUUUUUCCAUGAUUUCCUUAUGUUAUGCAUGUUCUUGAUGAAAUUCAUGUUUAGUAAGAAAAUCAGUUUUCAUGAUUUAUGUUCCUCAUGUUGUUGUGCAUUUAGUAUGAGUUGCCUUUUUGACUUCAUGGGAUGUGUAGAUGAACAUGCUUUAAUAUGCUUUUGAGAAAAUUGGCAUAUUGGCUCCAUGUUGUUGUGUUGAGCAUUAUUUUAGUUGGAGAAGGUAGUUCCUCCUAUGAAUAUGAGAAAUAUUGGGUUUCAUGCAUAUUGUGUGGGUUGUUAGAUGUAGUUCCUACUCCCUUGUAUUGCAUUGAUUAUGUUUUGAGAUGAAGUUGAUGUUUCUUUCUUUGAAUUGUGCAUUAUUAUGAUAUUUCAUGCAUGAUGGGUUUCUAGUCUUGAGUCUUUAAUUCCGUAAGGUGUCUAGAUCAUCAUUCGAGGACAAAUGUUCCCAAGGGGAGAUAUUGUAACAUUACGGAAAUUAUUAGACUAAACUAUAGUCUAACGUAAAACAAGUAGGCUAAGCUAGAGUUCAUGGUUCUUACCUUGGUAAGUAGGACACUCUCUUAUCGGUGUGAGAGAAGUACACUGUACUUCAUGUUACAACUCACAUGACUUAUGGCGGUUAAUGGUAAACUUCCUACAAUAAUGAACUAAGUUACAUUCAAUGUAUUUCACAAAGUGUUUCAAAUAUGUUAAGCUUGCAUUGCAUUGACCAUGAUUAUGAUAUAUGUUUUCAACCCUUUUCUCUUAUGAUUUAUCUUGUUUACAUGUAUGUAAAGUCCUUUUUAGCAUGAUUUCAUAACUUUUAUGCAUUGCUACCAUAUUUAGUACAUGAAAUGUACUAAUGAAUACUUGUUCCUACAUUGUUUCACUAAUAUAGAGUUAGAUGCUCCUACCUCUAACACAUGUGGCUAGUUGAUCUUUUGGUACUCAAGGAUUAGUGAGCCCACAUGUUCCGAGGACCAAACACUUUUAUUGUUUUCUGUAUUUCAGUUUUCAAACUUUUAUGUGAUGUAUGUGUUAUGUCCCUAUCACUUCUUCAGAUGUAAUAGAUGUCUUAUUAAGAUUUAUGUUAAACUUCUGGUUUGUCAAACUCUUUUAUGAUAUACGAUUGUUUCUUUGAAAUCUUUAUUUCUAUUAUCUUGUAUGAUGUAUGCUAAGUGACUUGUGUAUGACCUCUCGGGGUCGUAUAUGCCAAGUUACAACUAGAGUAUAGUUUUGGUCGUGACAUGAACUUAUUACUCAUAUUUCUCAACGUAAAAUAAAUUGAAUAAAAUAAUAAAUCAAUGUACUUAAAUAAAAAAAAACUAUCUUUUUUUGCAAAUAUACCAUAUUAUAAAUUUCAAUAAUGUUGUUGGAGUACAAAUUUUGAAUUCAAUGGGUAAUAAUUUAUUUUAUAAUAAAUUUUAUCAUAUUCAAGUCAUUAGUAACAAUAAUAUGCUUUAUAUUCUCAUCCAUUAAAUAAAAUUAUGAAUUAUAUUCUCUUUCCUCGUGAAUUUUAUUUUGAAUCCUUGAGGUUAAAGUUUGUCACGACCCAAGGUAGACCCUAGGCUUAACAUGGCGUAUAAGACUCCAAGAGGUCCCAUACAAAACACUUAAAUUUCAUCAUAAAAGAUAAUAAAAUAAAGAGAUUUAAAACAAUUUUAACAUGUCAGAGUUUUAUAAAGAAAAGUGGUAAUCUACACCUCGUCUGAAAGCCAUUAACAUAAGAAGGAAUGAGGACUUAGCUCGUACAUUAGAUUCCAAAAUUAAAAGUAAGGAAAGACUGAAAACAAUAAGUGUCUGAUAGUUCUCAACUACACUUCAUCCGAUUCUAAGUGUAGGCGGUCGCUAACAAGUAUAAACCCAACUAAGAGUUGGGGUCGAUCCCACAUGGAGUGAUACGGUAAAUAAUUCGAUUAUGAAGUAAACUGAUGUUCUAAUAGUUUGUAAAUGUAGACAUUUUCAAAACAAUAAAGUAAAUGACUAGGUGUUAACAAUCAAUGUCAAUGGGGGGAUUUGAGUGAACAAUUAACAACUACAAACAACAAGGAGUAUCAAGUAGAGGGGAUUUCUUGGGAGUGUGAUCAGUUGAAUGCCAAAUUCGCAAAAUGGGUGAUUAUUAUUUACUAAAAUUUAUUGAAUCUUAGUGGGUAGGCUAGGAUUUAGGUGCAAUAGCCAUUUCUCUCAACUAUUACGAAUGAAGCGAGUUCUCUCGAACCUCAACAAGCACACAUAUACAAAUAACCCAAUACCUCAAUCAAUCUACUUUUUCAAGCUAGAUUAGUAGGAUCAGAUUUAGACCCACAUUCUGUAGAUAAAUAUACAAUAACCUAAAUCACUAUAAUAAUAAGCUAAUAGUUUUAACUCUAAUACUUCUUUCUCAAGCAAGCUUAGAAUGUUGAACUAGAAUUGCAUUUGCAACUACAAUUCAUCAAUUAAACUCAAACUAUUAAUUGAACCCACUCCAAAUCAACAAUAAAAUCAGUAAAUACUAACACCCUUAAGCUAAUUGAAACAUUCAACUACAUAAUCACACCCCCAAGAAUGGCUUUUUUUUAGCCAAACACAAUAAAGAACACGAAAUUGUUACCAACUAUGUUUUCCAUCAGCUUGGGCAACAAUUCACAAUUCUCCAAAAUGCUCAAAAUUAAUCUCAAAAACAAAAAAAAACCCUAAAUAUCUACUUAAAAAGUGCAAAACCAAUGCUGAGGAUGAAAAAUCCAAAACUUGAUAAUGUGGGAACUGCUUUUCUUCUUUUGAAAGUUGUAUUUAUACGUUUCCAGAAUUUCAGCUUCGGAGUACACUCAGUGAAAUAAGUUGGAUUUCGUUGACCUAGUCGGCGAUGCAUGAUGAGUCCACAAAUUGGACUCAUUUAGGGAUUUAUUUUGAUAAAAAUAGUGUCCUCAAAAUGCUUAUUUUUUCUCAAUAUCUGAUGAAAACUCUAACGUUUCAGGUAUUUGAAGUUUUGGUGGAAGCAUGGGCACUUAGGCGAAAAAAGGAACAAAAAGGCAAAAAAGAACGAAGAAGCUAAAGCCUGAGCAUCGCCAAGCACACUUGGCGAAUCACCGAAGGGACGAAAUCCGCCCUUUGUUCCAGUACGCGAAGCCCUAAAGGAGCAGGAUCAAAAAGGCGAUGAAAGGAGCAGUCGGCGCUUCGCCGAAUAGUUUGGCGAAGCAGUACUAUGUCGCCCAAUGACACAGAACAGAACAGAACAAUGUUAAAGGCUAGUGCAAGACGGCGACGAACUACACCAAAGGGUGAAUCACUGAGUUGAUCGGCGAUUCCGACUAACCUCACCGAAAGAUCCGCCAGCACUAUUUUCUGAAGUCUAUAAAUACCAAAUUUGUUAUUAAUUUUUAAGCAGUUGAAUAUUAAUUUUAAUUUCCAUAAUAGAAUAAUACUUUUUGGUAUUUUCUUCUCAAGUUUGGAGAGAGUUUUGGUAAAUUGAAGAAUGGAGUUCAUCUUCCCCAAGUUGGAAGUGGGUCUUCCUUAUUCUUUUUCCUUUGCUUAAAUCAAGUUUUAAUUUCUGAUACCCAUUUGAUUUUACUAUCAUUCUAGGUGUAUUUUGUUAUUUCUUGAUGUGUGGCUAAAAACACCAUUCUUGGGGUGUGAUUUAGCAAAUAUGUGUUGAUAUUGUUUUUGGGUCUUGCUUGCUAAUACGUUAGAUGUAUUUUAAUGGUGAUUUCACCUAGUGGUUGUGGUUUAAUUUAAUGGGUUCGUAGUUGAAAAAUAAAAAAACACCCAUGUGUUUUUGGCUUGCCCGAGAGGGAGUUUGCGAAACCAAGACCACUAGACUGUAGCCUAAGGAGUUGGUCGACAUGAGGUUCAGCCCGAUAAGGUGAGCCGUAGUCCCAUAUCCUAACACUCAGCUCGAGAGAGUGAGUGGGGUAAGGCGUAGGCUUGCCUUCAUGCAGAAAAUGGGUGUCCGAGAGGAACGCAUUUGAAACGGGGUAAGUUGCCCGAGAGGGAACUUAUUUCCAUCUAAUGUUUAGCCUAGUCUCUAUUAUCUUGCAAAUUUCCUAUCGAAAGUAUGUACCCAACUAUUUAUCUCAACUUGUAUUGUGGUCACACCCCAAGAACUCUUCCCCCAUACUUGAUUUUCUUGUUAUUUUUGUUGUUUUUACUACUUCUGACAAAACCCCCAAUUGAUAUUCGACACUUUUGUGUCACCCCCUUUUAAUUUAGAACUAAAUUUUAUUUUUCUAUUAAUUGUCAAAACCACUCCCUUGGGAUACGACCCCAACCUUUAGUUGGGUUGCUAUAUUAUCGACGAUUGUAGACACUCGUACCGUAGGUUAGUUUCGUUGGUCACGAUAAGCAUCAAUGCAUCGAGUGCUCCUUUCCAUCGCCUACUUGUCUUGGCCUUUCACCACAUCUCUUUUGUAACUUUAAGCGAUCAAAGAAGAUAUCGCCGAUCCAUUCAAAGCGUCGCCAAACCAUCAAUUUGCCCGCCGAGUUGGUCUUGUCCAUAGGCUAGCCUGCUGGAACUUUUGGCAAGCUAAAGGUCGACUCGGCGAUUCGCCGAGUGGCUUUGGCAAGUACCAACCUUGCUUUUCUUCAUCGUUUUCAUUCUUUUUUGCCUGGUAAUGCGCUUGCCUUGUUCUUUUGCCUUCAUUCCUUCAAAUAAGCAUUGUAACAUCAAUUUAAAGCAUAAAAUAGGCAUCGAGGACACUAAAACUUUGAAUAUUAAGCCCUAAAUGAUUCAACAUCUCCGACUCAUCAACACCUCCAACUUCAACUUUUGCUUUUCCUAAAGUAAAACACAAGAUCAAUUAGUUCAAUAGAGAUGUCUACAUAUAGUGUUACUCGAGACACAACAUGAAUGCACACGAGGUUUAAACCACCCGUGCAAUAUUUAAUUGUGCAGUACAAGUUUCAAACUGUGACUAGCCAUCAUCAAGUAGAAAUCAAGCUCACAAUGCUUGUUUCAAAUGCAAAUUCAAGCACAACAAAAGUAUUUCAAUGCCCUCACAUCAAAAAUGAUUCCAUGCCCACAAAAAGAUCCAUCAAGAUUGAAGAAUUAAGGAAUCAAACUCAACUCUCACACUCACAAAGAUAAACACAUGCAUGCUUCUACCCAUACGCUAGCCCAUAUUUUCCAAUCAACAUGAUAUUAAGCUGAAUCAAGAUCACUAAGGUUUUUCAGGGCUUGCAACGGGCUGAGAGUAAAUGUAUGAUUAUUUUGGCUUAGUUACUUCUACCUUCACGAAGCAUGACUUGCAUUUCACUUUUUCUCCUUUUCUUUCAGUCUUUUUGAUUUUCACAAUCCACCCUAAGUUCUUUUAAGCAUGAUUCAUUUGACACCCCUUUUCUUUUAUUCAUUGCACAAGAUUCAUUGUAACAUUCUUUUUCAAUCUUUUUCUUUCUCUUUUUUAUAUGGCGGGGUUCCAUCUUUUUCAACACAAUCUAUCAAGGGUAAAAAAAAUGUUCACAAACUUCUUGACUUUCAUCAUUUCUGACCACACCCCCAAAUUAGGCUUUUGGCCUAAGGUUGCUAUUGAAAUGGACCAAUGUUUCAUGAUGGUUUUAGGAGAUAGGGAAUGAGGUCAAAUUCAUUCAUGUGUCAUCCCAACAAAAAGUUAGGCUCAAAUGGUGCCAAGCUAGUUUCACACUCUUACAAGGUUGUCUCAAAGAGGUAUAAUAACAAUUUGGUUCACUCUUCAAAAGAUGUGCCUAAGAUCAUCUCUAUCAUUCACCUAGGUUAGGCGAAUUGGACCAACAGGGAAAGUUCUAGGUAUCACCAAGCACUCAUUUCUAGGCAAUCUCACCACACAAGACAUUCAACGUAAUCAUCAAUCAAGAAUCUACAAAUUUAGCUCGCCUGUAAAGAUCAUCACAAGAUUCAUUUCACCAAUUGGCCAAUCACAAUGUGAUGCUAAGAGUUCACACGUGACUUAUGAAACUCAAAUUAGCCUCAGUGGAAUUGCAUAAACAUAUCGUUCAAUCUAGAGAAUUAUUCAGGUUAUCAAUAUUGAUCACAAUCCACGGGACUGCAGCCUCUAGACGGGUAGCCCCAUCUUCAGGAUCAUCGCCUGAGUAAUCUUGGUUGGCUGGGAAGAGGUAGAAGUACCCGGAGCCUGUGAAGAAGAAGUAGGAGCAGAAGUACCUGAAGGCCCAGAGGCCGGAGUAGACAAAGAUGCCUCUACAUGUAUAGAACCAAUGGCCAGCUCUAAAGAUGUAUCCACCAGAGCUGCUUUCCUCAUGUCGGUCUCCUCUAGAGUGUAUUUGGCCUAUAUACGCCUGAUAUUUGUAGAAGAGAAAGGAGUGACCUCAAUAUAUCUUGUUGCAUCCCGGGGUACUCCAGCACGUUGGCAUAAGUAAGUCGGGAUCGCCGAUCAGCUCGGCGAUCUGCCCUUUGGUCAGUUCCAUCGCCUUUUUGCUUUGCCUUUCAGCAUCCUCAAGUUAUGUAACUUUAGGCGAUCCAAUCACUGCAUUGCGGAACCGUUCGGCACACGCCGACUGCUCCUUCCUCUCUCCAACUUCAUUUUCUCCUUCAAGGCUUGGCACACUGAAACUUUAGGCGAGGUAAUAGCCACUCGGCAACUCGCCCAAUGGAUUAGGCAAUCAACAGGCCUUUUUUUCUUCAUUCUUUCAGCUGCCUUAUUCCUUUUUACCCAUUUUUGUCCAUGUUUUGUUCCUAAAUCCAAAUACCUGGAAAUCAGGGAUUCUACGUCAGUUAUUGGCACAAAAUAAGCAUUUAAGGACACUAAAUCUAUCCAAAUAAAGACUUAAAUUAGUCAAAAUUGUGGACUCAUCAAGAACUCAUGGACCCAGGAAGGUAUGUAUGAGCCUCGAGGCUGUGUGAAUCUCUCAAAAUUGUGGAACCGAAUGGUGUCCCACACAUUUGAUUAGUUGUCCACCACUCCAUAAGUAGACACUAUUUUCUUCUAGAAUCGUCCUAAACCCCGAAGCCUUACACAUAUUCAUCAAUCGAGGUGAAGGUGCUUGUACCGUGGGCACUGGUGGUGCCUGCUCCUCUUUUUGUGCUUGAGGUAGAGGAGUAAUUGGUAGUCUGGUCGGAUCAUGUAGGUCUCUGGGAGGGAGCUCAACUCGCCUCUUCUGAAGAGUCUGGUCAUCCUCUGGCUCGGACACAGAGGCUGGCUAUCUUGACCCCGAGACAUCCUCACGAUCAUAUUCCGAAGAGGUGAGGUUGGUAUUGUAGUUACCCAUACUAUCGAAGCUAUCCUCAGCCGGACUCGGAUCCACAUGACCCUUUUCUCUUUUCCUAUGUGCUUCCCCCUGUUGGAGGAAAUUUUGGCUAUGCUGCUCAUGACGGGGUAGCACCCUCAGAAAUAAGUAUUCCCAGUGCUCUCUUACAGGUGGUAGGUUCCUUCCGGGAACUUUAGGUCUGGACAUAUCUGCAAAACAAAACAUAUCGAACCAAACCAUUAGAAACAGGUUAAUGAAAAACCAAAGUUUAAAACUAGCAGAAAAACUCACCGACUAGUUUGGCGAGUCGCCAAACUCCUUCAGCGAGCUUAAUCGAGCUCGAUGAAAGUAACAUAACAAAAAUGCACAAAAACUAGAACAAGUUCGCAAGGUCCAGGGUCAGUCAGAGAAUCAGCAAAUUCAUUCAGCAAGCCAAGGGUAGCUCGCCGAAUAUAACAAAAUGAAUUACCAAAUGGGCUGAAAAAGGGCGAUCACAAGAUAUUUGACGAGCACAAACGUCUCGCCAUAUGUUACAGAGUCUUCCACUCAAAUGUCAAGGUAAAAAGGAUGAGGUAAGACACAUUUGGCAAACCGUGGAGUCAAUCAACGAGCUCGACUAAGCUCGCCGAACUGCCCCUCGUGUUAGAUUUCUCCCACAACUUUCAAUUUUCAAUAUUCAGCCAAUGAUAAUGCAAUUAAUUCCCUAUUCUAUGAAAUUAAACAUAGACCCACAUCAAUAUCAAUCUCAGAGUACUCAUAUUUUCCCCAAUUUGUCUAAAAUUGACCAAUCAACAUCUUUUGUCCGUAAAAAUGACGUCAUCCGCUCAAUCAUAGGGCAAAUUCAGGUGAUUCGUACAUUUCGGGGUAGUCAGACCUUACCCACACCAGACCCAACAUGCUACAACUAUACACCCACGAUUUCAAGCAAUUUCAACAUAGAAUUCAAUAUUUAGGGGUGAAACACAAAAGUUAACAUGAUACUACAGUAGCCCUAAAUUAAAAAUCAACCAAAUGCGGAAGAUCCAUCAAUAAUACGAGCAUGCAUUUCAACUGACUAUAAAUCAAGUCAAGUUCGGGACACCAACCUCAAAUAAGAUAGAACCAAAAAUCAGGCGAUCAAAUACGGAAGCAAAAUGCAAAUAUGCACCAAACAACUGACCCCCACGUUGAAAUACCAAGAAAAUAUGAUCUAAAAUGGAAGUGUAAAAGUCCAGGAGUCGAAAAAUUCAAAAUAAAGUAGUGUUUUGAAUUUAAAAUAGUUGAAAACCAUUCUGACCCUUCAGUUCACACUUCGAUCGGUGAUGUCACUAAUGUCGCUGGUCCACUCGGCGAUGCACCGAAUGUCACUUUUAUCACGACCCAAGUGUACCCCCUAGAUGUGACAAGGCACAUAGAACCCCGAAAGAAUCCAUGUAAGCCCCUUAGCAUAUCAUAACAUAAGAUAUAAGAAUUGAUGCGGAAUUUUAAAUAUUUUAUCCAUACAAUCGAAGUCUUUUAUAAAAGCAAGCGGAAGUCUAACUUGUCUCAAUUAGCCAUCUAAUACAAUCUUUGAAUCAACUAGGGACACAUCCCUUACAAUAAAGUCUGAAAGUGAAAUAACUAGAAAGAAACUACAAUUGACUCAUACGUCCUUGAAUAUUGAUGACUCACCAUAAGCUUGGAGAAUAGUAGAUUCAAGCUUGAAUCAAAGAAUAUCACCUCAAACACCGGACCCUACACUUAUAGAAAAAUGUAGAAAAUAUGGGUUAGUACAAAAAUGCACUAAGUAUGAUAUCCAUGCAUAAAAACAUUUAAAAUAUGCUAAAAAGGAAAUUUUAGUUUAAAACCAUGCUAUAUGCCAAGUUUGAGAAUCAUCAUGCACAUUAGUAUGAAACAUAAGUCAUAAGCAUUUUCAACAUAUAGGCCAUCAUAGAAUAAUAGAACCAUCUCAUAAGUAACCCUAAGUUAUACUUAUGCAAUGCAUAGAUACAGAUCUCAUAAUCCCAUCUAUACUAAGUACCACUUUUAGGCCACCAUAAUCAUAUUUACCAUUCUUUGAUCCCAUCUUUAGUUAAUACUCAUAGACAAGGAAACCUUCACAUUCACUAAGUCAUAUUAAGGAAAGCAACUCAUAGCAACAAUCCACAUUAAGCAUACUUCAUGACAUUUACCCUUCAUGUCAACAUACUUAGUAGCAUCAUCAUAAGCAUAUUCAUUUCAUAAAUCAUUAUAACAUUAAGGAACACACCAUAACUACUCUCAAAGCCUACUUGUGCAAUGCAUGGAUGAAGUCCCAUACCCCCACCCAUACUAAGUAGUGCAUUCUCGAAAAGCCAUAGUUCAUAAUCAUUAUUUGUGGGGGUAUUACUUACAUGACAUAGACCAUGUGAGAAAAUCAUGGAAUUCGGUGUUACCCACACCAAAAAGGGUGUCCUAAUUGCCUAAGGUAGAACAAUUAACAUUUAUCUUAGGUGGAUCCACUAGCUAUAACCUAUCAGGGCACAUAGUUUAUGGGAUAAGGAGAUUGCUACUAGAUACCCUUCCUUAACUCACGUAUGGGCAUCCAUCUCAAGUGAUUUCUAUUAGAAACCCCACCUCAAAUCACGUGAGAGCUUCCAUCUCAUAUCAAUAUCCACUCGAUGCUUUGCAUUAUUCCCCAUGGAUUACUUAAAAUUCAUUACUCUAGUUCAUUAUUAUUGGCGAAAGAGAAUGUUACUAGAUACGCCCCCUCAACUCACGUGAGGGCACCCAUCUCAUCCCAACAUCAUUCAUAAGAUAGCUCAUAGAUUCAGUAGGUUAUAAUAGCCUUUCAACCUAAGAAUCCCCAUAUUCUGAGAAAACAUUUCACAACAUGUCAUUAUCAUUCAUAAGUGUAUAAUUGAGAAUAGCCUUUCAAUCAACACAUCAUCAUUAUCAUAAUCAGAAAAACUUCAUUCAGAAGUGUGUGUCGUGAGAAUAGCCUUUCAAAAACACCACCAUUACAUCAUAGUCAUAAUCACCUUUUUCUCAAAUAUUCAUAAAGCAUGUACAUAAACAUCAAGAUCAUACAUAAUUCUCAUAAUUUGCCUUUCAAGGACCAUGAAUCAUAAUUCACCAACACAUCUAGAAUUACUAUAUUACACAUGGAUGAUAACAUGAUUCAAGUAAUCAACUCAUAACAUUCAUAAUUCUAUCAUAUUCUACUUGCAUCAAUCAAUACCCACACUUUAAGAUCUAAUUUGAGAAAAUAGGGUAUUUCAUGGAUUCUUGAGGAAUUCAUCUUAAAAUCAUCAAUAUAGCCAUAAACAAACAAAUUUCAAUCAUUUAAAAUGAAUUUGAAAGGAAUCCAUGAGAUUGAAGUCAAACCCUAAAUUUUGGGUUUUCUAACUUUGAAAAUGGGUGUUUUGAAGGUAACAGGACUCGAGCCUACACCCUGAAUGUAACACAACAUACAAGACUCCGAAGAGCAUCAUACAAACCUCAUAACAUUCAUAACAUAAGACAUAUGAAAUAGUGUGGAAUUUAAAAGUUUUCUUUAAAUCCAUACAAUCGAAAACAUCAUUUAAAACAAAAGAAAUGUACUAGUCACACAUGGCCAUCUAAUACAUUUGAGUCAAAACUAGGGUCACGGCCCUACAAUAGAAAGUCUAAAAAGAGUCUAAUACAAUGAAAGACAAGAAACAUCAAUAAAGCACUUGUCCUCGGAUCCAUGAGGACAUACCACAAGCUUUGGAAGAACUCAAUCUAAGCCGUUUGAACUAGAAGGAAACAACUCACUUGCCGGAACCUACACUUUGUAGAAAAAUAGAAGAUAUAUUGGUUAACACACAAAAAUGUACUAAGUAUGACAGCCAUGAAAAAAUCCAUGCUUAAAAAGGAUAUUUUGUUUGAAAACCAUACUAUAUGCCAAUUUUGAGAAACAUCAUGAAGUUUAGUAUAAAAGGCAUAAGAUACAAUCACAUGCAACAUAUAAGUCCUUUCAUCACCUUAGAAUCUUCACCUAAAGUAGCCUUAUGCCAUACCUGUGCAAUGUAAGAAUAGAAUCCCAUAAUACUAUUCCUACUAAGUACCACCUUGAGGUCACCUUAGAUGAACUAACCCUUCUUCCUUCUUAUCUUUAGUCAAUACUCAUGCAUAAGGAACAUAAACAUUUCAUAAGUCAUGACAAGGAAAACAACUCAUAACACAAUCCAAGUAAAGCAUGCACCAUUACAUUAAGCAUUAUUGUCAACAUUCUCAUUAUCUUCAUUAAGAGCACAUUCAUUCAUUAGACAUUAAGACAUUAGAGAAUCACACCAUAGUCCUCUCAAAACCUACUCGUGCAAUGCAUGGAUGGCAUUCCAUACUACCACCCACUAUUCGUAGAAGACCCUCAUUCAACCAUAGCACGUAUCUCACAUGAUGGAAAUAUGUAUUAACCGAAAUAGACCAUGUGAGCUUAACAUGAAAUCCGAUGUACUAUCCCACAUCGUAAGGGUUCGUCUGCUUGCCUACGGUAGAACCGGUAACAUUUUAGCUUAGGUGGAUCCACUAGCUAAUAUCCUAUAUGGGCAGAUAGAUAUAGGAUAAGAAAGAUGUUCAUUGAAACCCGACAUAACGUGGGGAGAGUGAUAGUGUAACGACGUAAUCAAAGAUACGAUUUCUAAUUAAGGUGUCAACGAUCGCGUGCAGUAAUACAACCCAACCGAAUGGGUUGGGGUUGAGUCCCAAGGGAGUGGUUGCAAGAAUUUAUAGAAAAGUAAAACUAUGUUCUAAUCAAUCAUCGCUAUAGAUAUUAACAAGUAAAACUAUAACAAGUUCAAGAAAUGACACGAAUGUCAAUUAUCAAAUGGGGGGUUUGUAUUCAACAAAUGAACAAAAAGAGUAAAAAAAAUAUAGAGAUACGAGUUAGGGAGACGAGAUUCUUGGGAUGUGAUAGGAAUGUGGGAUAAAAUAUACUAUUGGGUAAACGCUAUUGAUAGUAAAUCGCUGAAUAUUUGUAACUAGGCUAGACUUUAGUGGGGGUAAAUUCUCUCUCGAGCAACUUACCCCAAAUCAACUCGGUUUCUCUCGAACACCGAGUUGCAGCAUUUAAGCACACCCUACGCCUUAGACCAUUCAUUCUCUCGAGCUGAAUGUGUGGGAGAAGGUCUAGGAUUCACUCUCUCUAGCUGAAUCCAUGACGACCCAAUAACCACCGGCUAUCAAUUUAGUAGUCUUAGUUUUAAAACCACUCUCUCAAGCACGCCAAAAACAUUAAGAUGAAAUCGUAUUUGCAACUACAAUCCCAUUAAGUUCAAACAUAACUACUAAACGAAAUCACAUUUAAACAACAAAUAUACUAACAAUAAACAAUACCCAACAGGAAAUUUAACCCAUAUUCACAAAAUCACACCCCAACAUUGGGGUUUUAGCUAGACAUGAAAAAGAGAAAGAAAUCAAUACCAGCAAGUGUUUCCGUCAAGUGGGUACGAUAGAAAAUGUCUUCAAACACGUCUAGGAUGAAGAAUUUUGGAUACCCACUUCCAAUUUUUUGGAGUUGAAAACCUUCAAAACCUUCAAGUUCAAGAACAAUGUCUCCAAAAAAAAACAAUAAGAACAAAAAACUGAAAAUAUUCUAAGUCUCAGUAAUAAUUCUCUACAACUUGAUACUAAGCUACAAAAUUAAAUGAGUAUUUAUAGUUUUUGAAAAUUUGUGUUGCGAAGGACCACUUGGUGCAGUUAGUCAGGAUCGCCGAUACACACGGCGAUCCGCCCUUUGGUCUGGUUCAUCGCCUUUCAUCUUUUUCCUUCAGCAUCUUCACGUUUUGAUUCAUUGGGCGACAGGGAACUGCUUCGCAGAACUACUCGGCGAUGCUCCGACUGCUCCCUUUCCUCGCAGACUUGAUCUUUUCCUUCAGGGCUCAGCACACUGGAACAUUAAGCGAGAUUUGAGGCAUUUCAGCGACUCACCUAAUAGAUUAGGUGAUCUUCAGGCCAUCUUAUCUUCCUUCUUUCAGCCGCUUUGUUCCUUUUUGCUUGAUAGUGUCCAUGCUUUGUCUCUCAAAUCAAAUACCUGAAACUUAAGGAUUUACAUCAGAUAUUGAGACAAAAUAUGUAUUUGGGGACACUAAUUUAAUCAAAAUGCAGCCCUAAAUGAGUCCAAAUUAUGGACUCAUCAACACCCCCAACUUAAACUUUUGCUUCUCCUCAAGUAAAACUCAAGUUCAGUAGUUCAAAAAGGAUGUCUCAAACAGUGCUACACAAGACUCAAUCAUGAAUGUACACAUAAGACUCAACUUACUCAUGGAAGGAUCAAUUGUGUACUCAAAGACUCAAGUUAUGACACACCAUUAUCAAAGAUUCCCAAGCUCAUAAUACUUGUUUCAAAAGCAAGUUCAAGCUCAACUAAGGUAUUCAAAUGCCCUCAAACAAAGAAUGAUUCCAUAUUCAUACUUAAUGAUUCAAUCAUUUAAAGCUCUGGAAUCAAGAUCAACACUUACACUCACAAAGAAGAACACAAUGUAUGCUUUCACCCAUAGGUUUUCCCGUAUUUUCCAUUCAACAUUUGCUUCAUCUCACUCAAGAUCAAAAAGGUUUUUUUAAGGCUUGUAAUGGGGCUGAGUGCAAAUGUAUGGUCAUUUAGGCUCAGUGACUUUCAUCCUUAUGAUAUGUGGUGCUCACAAGAUUUUCUUUCCUCUUCUUUCAUCAUUUUCUUUAGUGCUCAUAAGUCAUCCCAUUAUUCACUUUCCAUAGAUUGUACGGAAACCCCAUUUCUUUUGUAUUUUCAUAACUUUAUUCCAUAACUUUUUCUUUGUCAUUCUUUUAUUUCCCCUUCUUUUUUUUUGGAUGAAGGGAUUCCAUUUAUCUCAACAUUAUGGGUUAAAGGGACUUUUCUAGCAUUUGUUGACCUGCCUUUUCUUUUCUCCACACCUCCAACUUAGGCUUUUGGCCUACUUUGGAUACAAUCAACCACAGAUCAAGAGGAUUAUAGGUAGUGGAGUAAGAGAGGUCAUGUUUUCAUCAAGUUUCUUCCAAAGAAGGGUAAGGCUCAAGGGGUGUUCAAUAGAGGUUCACACACACUUACAAGUUAGGCCACAUAAGAGGUAUAUGUCAAAAUUGGCUCACACUCUUCGAAGUUUCCUAAGAUCAUAUCAUGAGAUAGUCUUAGUUAGUCGACCGGACCAACGGGGCAAAUUCUAGGUGUUAUCAUGCAUGGUUCACAGUAAGCUUAUCACACAAUGCAUCAACACCAAAGUAAAACAAGACUUCACACUUUUCCUAGUGUGCAACGAUCAACACAAGAAAUCAAUUUGAUACUUGGCUAGUCACAACGAGAUGCAAAGAGUUCACAUAUUGUGUAUGUAACUUCACUUGGUCUCAUCAUAACUACACAUUCAUGUUCGUUCGAUUACAAGCACUAUUUAAAUCAUCGAUAUUGAUAAAAACCGAGACUAAAAGUUGCUAAAGAACAUCCACAAUCAAGUACAUACAAGAGUGGGCAAAAAAUUUGGAAGGGUCAAAAAUCAUUUGCAAUUAAAGCAUAAGGAGCCACAAGCUCAAACAUCCACAGAAAGCAGUGUAUAACAUAAUAUUAAGCAUAACAAUCCAAAUAUACGAUCAAAACAUCAGUCAUAAAAGCACGCAAAGGUGGGCCUCACCCCACCACAAAUAAAAUAAUUUUUCCUCAAAUGCAAAUAACAUUAUCCAUAAUUUAAAAUAAAGUAAGACAGAGAGGUAGGUAAAGAGGGGAUCCUGUCUAAGAAGUCGCUCCAUCUAUCUAGGCAUUAGUGUCCGGUGCAUUGGUAUACAUUUGGGCAUCGGUGCCCGGAGUCACCUCAGAGGUGCCAGCUCCACUAUAGACAAAAAAAAAUGUAUUUCCCAGGGAAGCCUGCACAACAACAUCUAUCAUGGCUGCUUCAGUCUCAGUCAGGACCUCAUCUGCAGCUCCCUCAGUCUCCUCAGGCAUCUCCUCAUUAGUCUCUACCUCUGAUUCAGUAUCGGCUGUCUGCUCCAUUCUAUCCUCAUGUCUAGUGGUAGUCGGAGUCAUCUCAGGCACAUCUGGAAUCUAUACUGUUCGAAAGACCAUGUACAUAUUGGUGGAUCUAAGAUAAUCCACAUCUUUCCUCAGCUCAGCAACGAUGACUUUUAAAGUUGUUACCUCCUCGGUGGCCCCUUGGCCACGCUCGGACACCGCUAUCCUUGCCACAAGGGCAUCAAUGGAGGUGCUCAAUGGUGAUACUGCAUCAAUUAGGGUAGUCUGAAUCAUGUAUGGAAUGGAGGCCUCGAAUCUGGCAGCUCGACGAUCAGCAUAAUGGGCAAUCUGUCCCAUCCGGAGUAAUGAAGCCUGGGUGAUCAGAGUCCGGGAGACAGCAGCGGCAACAGGUCAAGGAGGCAGUGCAGUAGCAGAAGAACUAGGGAUAUCAGAAGAUACAACACAAGGAGUACCUGAAGGCCCAGGGGCCGGAGUAGGCAAAGAUACCUCUGCAUGUAAAGAGUUUGCGUUUACAAGUUGAGAUGAGGCCAUCGGGGCUGCCUUUUUCUUCUUCUCUGCCUGGUCCUUUAAAUAUUCUACCUCUAUCCUCUGGAUAUCAGUAGAGGAUGUGGGAGUUACUUCCACAUCUGUCCUUGCAUCUCUAGGUACCCGAGCAUAUCUGCACAACUCUGUGAUCAAGAUCGGAAAGAGGAAGGAAGUAUGAGGUUACUUGGCCCUCAUGACCAUCUCACGUGCUAUAAUCAUCCCCAAAUUGAGCCUUGUCCCAUCAAUGAUACAUCCUAGGAAGGCUGCAUUGGCCAAGCGAAGAAUAGACUCGUUUUGGGAGGGCAUCAUCGUGUUGUUGAUGAAACCAAACCAAUACCUCGUUGCUAUAUUUAAGUCAUUUUUUCUAUAGGAUCUCUUGCCUCCAACCACUUCGGAGUACCAUCUGAAAUCAUUGGGGCUAACCACUUCUUCAUAUUGUUCACCUUCUUUAUUCUGAUCAUAUGAUGCUAGUCAUCAUCAAUAUGUGUGGAUACGCCCAAGACUGUGUUGAUAGCAGCACUAUCACACUAUACAUUCCCGCCUCUUACAACCACUUAGUCAACCGACUUGAAGAUAGCUGUUGGCUUUUUUCCUUGUGGUAUCAAUGCACUGUACGCACUGUAGAAUUCCCUAACCCAACUUUUAAUAUACGACCAUAGGGUUUUGUGAAGAUCUGGAACCUGUGAGAUUUCAGGCAAUCCAUUAUCUUCGGGUACUUGUUGAUAACCUUAUCCGUGGACAGAUGCUUCUCCUCAAGAAUCGUCCUCAGUCCUUUAGUCUUUAAUCUGUUCAUCGACUUGGGAGGAGGAUCAUCCGUAGGAGGGGCAAGGACUACAACCUGCUUUUGAACUGGAGGAGGAGGAAUGGUAAGUUGAGGGCUCCUUAGCCUAGACCGAUCAUUCAUCUUUAUAGAUCGUAGCUCUACCAUCUGCGCUGCUAUAAGCUCAUCAUUAGAAACUGCAAUCUGAGGAUCCUAGUGCUCACCCUCACUUUUACAACUGGUGAGGUGAGUGGUGUAGAUGACGUCACUGUCGGAGAUGACAUCUGGUGAUUUAGGUGCCUUCACUUUACCCUUGCCUUCCCCACCAUGUGUGCGGGGUUUUGUGACCUUUCCCUUGGGUGCAGUUGCAUCCUCAUUCUGUAUAAUCCAUUUUGUUUUUCCUUGUGCUGGCACAUUUCGUCCUGCAACUUUAGGUUUGGCCAAAUCUGCAAAACAUUGGGAAUAGUUUAGAAACCACUCGGUUGAUAAUACAGAAACACAGUUUCAGACAAUCUCGCCGAACUAGUCGGUGAGUCUCCGAAUCACUUUGGCGGGCUUGGCUGGGCUCGCCGAAAGGAUUGGCUUCAAAUACUAGGCAAGUCGGUGAAGUUAAAGGUCUUUCGGCGAAUCGCUAAUCAUUUUCGACUAGCAAAAAUUAGCUUGCCGAAAGUUACAGUGAAAAAGGGUUUAGGGGCACAGUCAAAGGGCGAUCAAGAAAUCUUUCAGCGAGUCGCCGAGUGAUUUCGGCGAUCUCAGGCAUCUCGCCAAAAGUUGCAGAGCCAAACAGCAAGUAAAUCAUGAAAUUAAAUGCGAGAUGUGGACAUUAGGCGAACCGCCGAGUGUUUCGGUGAGCUCGACCCAGCUCGCCAAACGGCCCAAUGUGCCUAAUUUAACUCAACUUCUCGAAUUUAACACCACAACCGCCGGAAAAAAAGUUAAACCAUGCACUAGUUAAUUUAAGUUCAGACCCAUAACACCCACCACCCCGAGAUACUCAGAUUUCUCCCGGUUUUGCCAAAUUUGGCCAAAUUCUGACUUUUUCCCUUAAGAAUGGUGUAACCCACUCUAUCAUUGUGCAAUUUUACACCAUUUAGCACAAAUACGAGUUAUUCAUACUUCACCCAACCAAUCUAACCAACAUGCAAGCACAACCCCACAAAAUUUAACUUAUUUUAAUGCACAAAUUUACCGGCAUUCGAUGAUCAAAACAAUACGGGAAAGAUUAUCAAAUUAUAAUCGGCAAUCAAAUAUUCUAAUCCUAUCAGAGAGGCCCAACACAAUCACUAAGAUAAAAUCCAUUGCAUAAGAGUACAAAUAUCAAAAGUAAGUGCGGGGUUUGGAAAACCAACCUUCAUUGCCGAUUAAAACAAGAAUGUAAUCCUAGGUAGCAAAGUAAUCCAAUUCCGAGAACAAAUCAAUGAGAUAAAAUACUUAUAGAACACGGAAAUAUUGAAAAUACUAAGCAGGUGCAAGCUUGUGAAGAUUGAAAGUGAGGGAAAGUAAAAAAAAAUUAUGCUUGCACCUUUGGCCUUAUAAGAACCAUCUAAAUCUCACUCAUUUGACGAAUUUAGUCACAAUCGCUGAACUACUAGGCGACACAUCGAAGGAUCACUUACCUUGCCGAAUUGUUUAGAAUUUUCAGUUAAACUAAGAGUCCAAUCGACGGUCUAGGUUGGGAUCGCUGACCUUCUGGCGAUUCGCCGACUGGACCUUUAGCUCGCCAAUUCUUAUAUUUUUCAAAUACUUUCCUCACUUUGUCAUGCACAUUUAACACACUAUUAUUCUAAAAUUAAAUUAAAUCUAUAAAACCUUGGGUUGCCUCCCAAGAAGUACCUUAGUUAUAGUUUUGGCACGCUUCCCAACUUACUCUUAAUUCGUGGGAUAGAGACGAGACAACACAUGACCCAUUUGGGUCUCUAGAAGCUGAAUAGAUAUGAAAUGGGAAGUAGUUAUCUCAUUCAGCAUUGAUACAUUAUCUUUUUAUCUCAUGCAACACCUUGUCGUGACCUUCGACUUUGUGGAAAAUGAGUGAGAGUGUUUCCUCUAUUUGCCCACCCUCAUUCACACUAGGCUUCACACGCUCAUGAGAGGGAAUGAACUGGUCUUUGUUUUUGUCUGGUGCUCCUAAUUAUAAUAUCUUCUUAGUUACUAGAUCUAGUUGGGUUAACAAUGUAGCCAAAAGAUAGUUCUUCUCAGUCUCUUUGUUAGUCAUGGCCAGGUUAUCAAAGAGUUGGGUCGCUAUUGCAUAUGGCAGUUGUGAGAGACCCCCUAGAAAUAUUUGUUCAGCCAUUCUUCUAUUUUCUGGGCCAAGACUUUUGUAGAAGCAAUCUAAUAACACGUUUUCUGAGAUUCCUUGAGUUAGGUAAUGGAGGAAGAUUGGCUUAAAUUUCAGCCACAACUCAUGGAUUUACUCCCUCUCCGAUUGUCUGAAACUUAGGAUGCUAUCCUUAAGAGACAUCAUUCUUAGAGAAGACAAAUCCAUUUGGUUACCAUUGCUAUCAGACAAGCUCCACUGUCCUACUCAAAACAAGCAAGCAAAACAAAACUAAAAAUUAAUCUAGUAAAACUACAACUAACAAGAAUGAAAUCCUACUUAACUAAAAAUUCUCAACUAACACCACUCCCCGGCAGCAACGCCAUUUUUGAUAGUUAAACAAUGUAAUCAAAGCCACGACUUCUAAUUCAGGUGUCAACGAUCGCGUGCAGUAAUAUAACCCUACCGAAUGGGUUGGGAUCGAGUUCCAAGGGAGUGGUUGCAAGAAUUAAUAGAAAAGUAAAACUAUAUUCUCAUCAAUCAUAGCUAUAGAAAUUAAAGAGUAAAAACAUAAUAAUUUCAAGAAAUGACAUGAAUGUCAAUUAUCAAAUUGGGGAUUUGUAUUAAACUAAUGAACAAAAACAGUAAAAAAAUAUAAAAAUACGAGAUAAAGAGACGGGAUUCUUGGGAUGUGAUAGGAAUAUGGGAUAAAAUAUACUAUUGGGUAAAUGUUAUUGAUAGUAAAUCGCUGAAUAUUUGUAACUAGGCUAGUCUUUAGUGGGUGGAAAUUCUCUCUCGAGCAACUUACCCCGAAUCAACUCAGUUUCUCUCAAACACCGAGUUGCAGCAUUUAAGCACAGCCUCCGCCUUAGCCCAUUCAGCUCGAGACUCUCUUGAGCUGAAUGUGUGGGAGAAGGUCUAGGAUUCACUCUCUUGAGCUGAACCCACGACGAACAAAUAACCACCGGCUAUCAAUUUAUUAGUGUUACUUUUAAAACCUCUCUCUCAAGCAAGCCAAAAAUAGUAAGAUGAAAUCCUAUUUGCAACUACAAUCCCAUUAAGUUCAAACACAACUACUAAACGAAAUCACAUUUAAACAACAAAUAUACUAACAAUAAGCAUUACCCAAUAGGAAAUUUAACCCAUAUUCACAAAAUCACACCCCAAGAAUUGUGGUUUUAGCUAGACAUGAGAAAGAGAUAGAAAUCAAUACCAACAAGUGUUUCCAUCAAGCGGGUACGAUAGAAUAUGUCUUUAAACACGUCUAGGAUGAAGAUUCUUGGAUACCCACUUCCAAUUUCUUGGAGUUGAAAACCGUCGAAACCUUCAAGUUCAAGAACAAUGUCUCCAAAAAAAACUCUAAGAACUAAAAACUGAAAAUAUUCUAAGUCUUAGUAGUAAUUCUCUACAACUUGAUACUAAGCUAGAGAAUAAAAUGAGUAUUUAUAGUUUUUGAAAAUUUGUGCUACAAAGGACCACUCGGCGCAGUUAGUAGGGAUCGCUGAUACACUCGGUGAGCCGACCUUUGGUCUGGUUCAUUGCCUUUCAGCUUUUGCCUUCAACAUCUUCGCAUUUUGAUUCAUUCAGCGACAAUGAACUGCUUCGCGGAACUACUCGACUAUGCGCCGACUGCUCGCUUUCCUCGCAAACUUGAUUUUUUCCUUCAAGGCUCAGCACACUGGAACAUUAGCUGAGAUUUGAGGCCUUUCGGCGACUCGCCUAAUGGAUUAGGCAAUCUUCAGUCCAUCUUUUCUUCCUUUUUUCAGCCGCUUUGUUCCUUUUUACUCGAUAUCGUCCAUGCUUUGUCUCUCAAGUCAAAUACCUGAAACUUAAGGAUUUACAUCAGAUAUUGAGACAAAAUAUGCAUUUGAGGACACUAUUUCAAUCAAAAUAUAGCCCUAAAUGAGUCCAAACUGUGGACUCCUCAGAGACAUUCCAUCUUACCAUAUCCACUCGGUACUUAGCCUCCAUUCCCAUAGAGUAGUUCAUUCACAUUAACAUUAUUGUACUUGAGAGGAAUGUCGUUGACCUAUUGACCCAAGGUACAUUAUUACACACAUGAAAGGAAUGCCAUGAGCCUAUCGAUUAAUGGUACAUUAUUAAGAUAGCUCAUUGAAUCAUCAUAAAAGGAAUGCCAUAGCCUAUUGAUUCAAGAUUCACCUUUACAUUAUUUCUUGGACUCAUUAUGAAAAAAAUGACAUUGGCCUAUCGAUUCAAGAGUUAUCCUUACAUUAGUUCAUUGGAUCAUUUAUGAAAGGAAUGUCAUUGGCUUAUCGAUUCAAGACAUAGCCUUAGAACACUUCAUUAGUCAUUUAUAAAAGGAAUGCCAUUGGCCUAUCGAUUCAUGUUCAUUAAGUCAAGAUACAUUAGUUACACGAGAAGAGGAUGUCUAAGCGUACCACUUCAAGGUACAUCAUUCAACAUUACUUUCAUUUACACAAGAAGAGGAUGUCUAAGCCUACCAAUUCAAGAUGUAACAUUACAUACAAGAAACCUUUCACAUAUAUCAUCAUCAUUCAUAAGUGUAUAAUUGAGAAUAACCUUUCAAUAAUAACACAAUUGCAUUCAAGACAUGAUCACCUUACUCUCAUAAAUAUAGAAACCUUGCUUUUCAAUAAAGCACAUACAUAAUUCUCAUAGUCAUGUAUAGGUUCUUCAUUCAUUGUCCAUCAAGAUCCCUAAAUCACAAUUCAUGGUUCAAAUCUUGCAUCACUAUUCUAUACAUGGAUAUUCACAUAUUUAAAUUAGAUUAACUACUACAUGCAUAAUUUGAUAACAAUCCACCCACAUCAAUCAUCACCCACACUUUGAGAUCCAAUUUGACAAAAUAGGGGUAUUCAUGGAUUCAUAGGUAAUUCAUAAUAAAAACAGUAGUAAAUCAUCAAAUUGGUCAUAAUAUAAGACAAUAAACACUUUGAAAUCAUUUUGAAAGUGAAUCCAUGACAUAGAUUGAAAACCCUAGGUUUUGGAAAAUUUCAACUUUGAGAAAUAGAGUUUUGAAGGGACUCCUUGGAUUGAACUUAACCAAGGAUGAAGACUACCAUACCUUGAUUGAAGAAACUCCACGAAAUUGAGUAAGAAAGAUGUACUCUUGAACUCCAAACCUAGAUUUCUUCUUUUCAUAUGGAGGUUUCUAAAGAGAGAAUAUUUGGGAGGGGAGGGGGUUUAUAUUUUCUGUUUCGGGAAUAAUGAAUUGUAAAAGGUGGUUUAAUAGUUUAAAAAUCCUUAAAUAACUCUAAAUAACCAAUAACCGUCCCCUAACUUAACUAACCUUAAAAAGAAAUUUACCAACCUACCCUUAGACAGUCUGCACAAGGGUGACCUACGCCCAUGACCUACGGACUGUAGGUGGGCUCCCGCCCUAUCCUGCAGGUCUGCAGGUUGGCUCUGCAACUUGACUUCAUGGAGCUUUGAUCUACAUAUCUCCCCCAUGGGCGUGGAUGGACCUAUGGGGCAUAGGUCCCAUCCGUAGGUCCUACGAAUUUUGGAAGUUUUGGUUCUUUGGGGUUAGGCUUUAGGGUGCUCCUUAAGGGCCCUUGAUUGGUCCUUGGGGAUUCGUACCUUGACUUAUAACCCUUCAACCUAAGCUCGGGAACUCAUUUUACAACAUAAAAUGCCACAUCAAACUCAACAACACAGUCGUUAGGCUCUAGUCUCACCUACUAGUUUUCUGAGUCGUAACAAUAUCUCCCCCUUGGGAACAUUCAUUCUCGAAUGACAGUUUAAACACAUUAGGGAAAAAAACUCAAGACUAGCAGCCCAUCAUGUAUGAAACAACAUAAUCAAUGCAUAAAACUUUGGAGGAGAAAUCAUCUCAAUUUCAAACAUACUCCAUGCGACACAAAAAAGUAGGAACUACAUCUACCAACUCAUUAGGCAUGAAAACUGCAACGUUUCUCAUUUCAUUGGAGGAAUUACCUUCUCCAACUCAAAUCAUGCUUGUCAUAACAUCAUUAAGCAAAUUAUGCAAUUACUCUUAAAAGCACAUUUAGGCAUGUUCAACAAUUCACCUCAUGAAUCAUAUAGGUAAGUCAUACUAAAUGCACCUCAACAUGAGCAACAUAAAUCAUCUAAAAUCAUUUUCUCAUUUAACAUAUAUCCAUCAAGAACAUGCAUAACAUAAGAAGACCAUGGAGACACGUAAUCACUCUUGACGCCAAAACAUGAAAUAAGCCAAAAAAAGAACUCUUCGUCUUAAGCUUGAAUAGGAAUAGAAAGGAAGAGAAUGAGGAUAUCGGGAUUUCUCAUUGGCCCUUGGUCUCCGAAGUAGCACCCUUAUUAAAACACUAACGAAAAUACUACUCCUCAACAUUUUCCUGGAAACAACUUCCUUACUCUUUUAUUUCUCAACUUGCCACUCUAAGAUCCCAACUAGUACUUCUAAACUAGGGAGAUAAUCAUUAAGCAACUUUUGCUCACAAACAACCUUACCAACACCACUCAAGGUCUCAUAUGAGUCUACUAAACUGGGUCUAAACUUCUCAAACUCACUGCACCUCUUAAGGUGAAUAUUUCAAGCAAACCUAACUCAUGAACAUCAAGGAUACUCAACAACCUUUCGAUCUAAGCACAUUAUCUCCCCCUUGGGAGCAAGCCUAUACAAACUAUUUUAAGAAUCUUAUAGCUCUCGGGUAUCCAAUCAAUUAAUCCCACAAACCGGGGAAGCUUAAGCGGAAAUGAAAGAGGAGCCAUUCAUGAACAUCACACCAAAAAUGAUUAAAACAUUUAUAGCUCCUACGGAAAUAAGUAGUUGCGCAGCAGCUACAAAAUAGGAGGUAGAUAGAAUAUAGAAUAACGAUGUACAAACAAGAACCAAUCCCAAGGAAAAGCUUACUUCUUUCAAUUCCCAAGGUUGGAACAAGUCAUCACUAAGCCUUUAUGUCACGACCCGGGAGCACCCCUAAGUCGUAACAAGGCGUACUCGACCCCGAAGGGGUCUUAUACAAACCACAUAGUCAUUCAUUGCAUUCAAUAAUGAUAAUAGUGCGGAAUGAAAAAACUUAUUUACAUCCACAUCAUUCAAACUUCAUUAAAACAACUUGAAAAACACACAGUGGAAGUCUAAGUCUCACAUGGCCAUCUUAGACACAAUCACAAAACAUAAGUAGGGACACGACCCUUUACAAUCGAAACAAAACUAAAAGUGUCUAUUACAUGAACAAAAGAACUUAAAAGUCUUAUCCUCGAAUCCAUGAGGACAUACCAAGUCUUGGAGGAAAGCAAUCCAACACUUCAAACUAGCUAGGAGGGAUCACUUGCCGGAACCUACACUUAUAGUAAAAAUAUGAAGAAUAUGGGUUAGUACACAAAAUGUACUAAGUAUGAUGACCAUGCAAAACAUGCUUUAAAAGGGACAUUUUGGNNNNNNNNNNNNNNNNNNNNNNNNNNNNNNNNNNNNNNNNNNNNNNNNNNNNNNNNNNNNNNNNNNNNNNNNNNNNNNNNNNNNNNNNNNNNNNNNNNNNNNNNNNNNNNNNNNNNNNNNNNNNNNNNNNNNNNNNNNNNNNNNNNNNNNNNNNNNNNNNNNNNNNNNNNNNNNNNNNNNNNNNNNNNNNNNNNNNNNNNNNNNNNNNNNNNNNNNNNNNNNNNNNNNNNNNNNNNNNNNNNNNNNNNNNNNNNNNNNNNNNNNNNNNNNNNNNNNNNNNNNNNNNNNNNNNNNNNNNNNNNNNNNNNNNNNNNNNNNNNNNNNNNNNNNNNNNNNNNNNNNNNNNNNNNNNNNNNNNNNNNNNNNNNNNNNNNNNNNNNNNNNNNNNNNNNNNNNNNNNNNNNNNNNNNNNNNNNNNNNNNNNNNNNNNNNNNNNNNNNNNNNNNNNNNNNNNNNNNNNNNNNNNNNNNNNNNNNNNNNNNNNNNNNNNNNNNNNNNNNNNGGCACAUAGUUUAUGGGAUAAGGUAGACGAUCAUUGAAACUCAUGCCUAACUAUUGGGGAAGUUUCCAUAUAACCAAAUUCACUCGGUGCUUANNNNNNNNNNNNNNNNNNNNNNNNNNNNNNNNNNNNNNNNNNNNNNNNNNNNNNNNNNNNNNNNNNNNNNNNNNNNNNNNNNNNNNNNNNNNNNNNNNNNNNNNNNNNNNNNNNNNNNNNNNNNNNNNNNNNNNNNNNNNNNNNNNNNNNNNNNNNNNNNNNNNNNNNNNNNNNNNNNNNNNNNNNNNNNNNNNNNNNNNNNNNNNNNNNNNNNNNNNNNNNNNNNNNNNNNNNNNNNNNNNNNNNNNNNNNNNNNNNNNNNNNNNNNNNNNNNNNNNNNNNNNNNNNNNNNNNNNNNNNNNNNNNNNNNNNNNNNNNNNNNNNNNNNNNNNNNNNNNNNNNNNNNNNNNNNNNNNNNNNNNNNNNNNNNNNNNNNNNNNNNNNNNNNNNNNNNNNNNNNNNNNNNNNNNNNNNNNNNNNNNNNNNNNNNNNNNNNNNNNNNNNNNNNNNNNNNNNNNNNNNNNNNNNNNNNNNNNNNNNNNNNNNNNNNNNNNNNNNNNNNNNNNNNNNNNNNNNNNNNNNNNNNNNNNNNNNNNNNNNNNNNNNNNNNNNNNNNNNNNNNNNNNNNNNNNNNNNNNNNNNNNNNNNNNNNNNNNNNNNNNNNNNNNNNNNNNNNNNNNNNNNNNNNNNNNNNNNNNNNNNNNNNNNNNNNNNNNNNNNNNNNNNNNNNNNNNNNNNNNNNNNNNNNNNNNNNNNNNNNNNNNNNNNNNNNNNNNNNNNNNNNNNNNNNNNNNNNNNNNNNNNNNNNNNNNNNNNNNNNNNNNNNNNNNNNNNNNNNNNNNNNNNNNNNNNNNNNNNNNNNNNNNNNNNNNNNNNNNNNNNNNNNNNNNNNNNNNNNNNNNNNNNNNNNNNNNNNNNNNNNNNNNNNNNNNNNNNNNNNNNNNNNNNNNNNNNNNNNNNNNNNNNNNNNNNNNNNNNNNNNNNNNNNNNNNNNNNNNNNNNNNNNNNNNNNNNNNNNNNNNNNNNNNNNNNNNNNNNNNNNNNNNNNNNNNNNNNNNNNNNNNNNNNNNNNNNNNNNNNNNNNNNNNNNNNNNNNNNNNNNNNNNNNNNNNNNNNNNNNNNNNNNNNNNNNNNNNNNNNNNNNNNNNNNNNNNNNNNNNNAAGCUUGGAACUUGGAGCAAGAGUCUCUUCAAUCUUGAGGAAGGUUUUGGAUUAGGGUUCUUGAGAGAACUUGAGAGAAAAUGUGUCUAAGUAUGGGAGAGAUGUUUUGGGAAAUGUUUUGGAGAUGGGAAUUGAACU
rnacentral:lncRNA from 1 species